rnacentral:lncRNA from 1 species
UGGGCACUCCCAGGCACCCCAGGCAAUUUCCCCAUCUCUGCACACUUGGCUUCUCCUUGUCCCUCACCCUCUCAGAAGUGCUAUCUCCUUGCUCCUCACUGAUUUCAACACAAGAAGAUGUGGGGACUGAUGAAUAGUUCCCAGAGAUGCCCACACCCUAAUCUUUGGAAGAGUGAAGAAGUUGUAUCGUAUGGCGAAAGGGACAUUACAAAAUAAUUAAAUUUGGAGCUGAAAUCAAUGGAAUUGAAACAAAAGAAACAAUUGAAAAAAUUGACAAACAAAACAUUGGUUUUUUUGAAAAAAUAAAUAAAACUGAUAAACACUUAGCCACACUAACGAAGAGAAGGAAAGAGAAAACUCAAAUUAUUAAAAUCCAUAAUAAAAAAGGAAAUAUCACAACGUACACUACUGAAAUAUAGAGGAUAAUUAGAAAAUAUUUUGAAAAUUUAUACUCCCAAAAUAGAAAAUAUUGAAGACAUUGACACAUUUCUAGAGUCAUAUUAUCAACCCAAACGGAAUCAGGANUUUACCACAUGCACAUCAGAUAGAGCACUAAUCUCUAGGAUAUAUAAAGAACUCAAAAAACUUAACACCCCCCAAAAAAGAUAACCCAAUCAAUAAAUGGGCCAAGGAAUUAAACAGACACUUCUCAGAAGAUAUACAAUUGAUCAACAAAUAUAUGAAAAAAAUAUUCAAUAUCUCUAGCAAUUAGAGAAAUGCAAAUCAAAACUACUCUAAGAUUUCAUCUCACUCUAGUCAGAAUUGCAGUUAUCAAGAAUACAAGAAAAAAAAAUAAGUGUUGGCAAGGAUGUGGGGGAAAAGGCCCACUUUUUUCAUUGCUGGUGGGACUGUAAAUUGGUGCAACUAGUCUGGGAAGUAGUAUGGAGAUUCCUUGGAAUGGAACCACCAUUUGACCCAGCUAUUCCACUUUUUGGUCUAUACUCAAAGGACUUAAAAACAGAAUACUACAGUGAUGCAGCUACAUCAGCACAAUCCACAAUAGCUAAGCUGUGGAACCAACCUAGAUGCUCUUUAGUAGAUGAAUGGAUAAAGAAACUGGUAUAUAUAUAUAUAUAUAUAUAUAUAUAUAUACAAUCGAAUAUUAAUCAGCAUUAAAAGAGAAUAAAAUUAUGGCAUUUGCAGGUUAAUGGAUGGAGUUGGAGAAUAUCAUGCUAAGUGAAGUAAGCCAAUCCCCCAAAAAACAAAGGCUGAAUGUUUUCUCUGAUAAGUGGAUGCUGAUCCAUAAUGGGGUGGGGAGCAUGGGAGGAAUGGAGAAUUUUGGAUAGGGGAAAGAGAAGGGAGGAGGAAUAAGGGUAAGAAAGAUGGUGGAAUCAGAUGGAUAUCAUUACUCUAGAUACACGUAUUAUGACACAAACGGGUGACUCUACUUUGCGUACAACCAGAGAAAUGAAAACAAUUGUUCUCCAUUUGUGUACUAUGAAUCAAAAUGCAUUCUGCUGUCAUGUAUAACUAAUUAGAAUAAAUGAACAAAUAAAUAAAUGUUUUAAAAAGGGACAUUAUUGAUGCAACCAAGGUGAAGAUCUGAAAAUGGGGAGAUUGUCCUGGGUGGCCCUAUCAAAUCACAGUAAAACUUCCAAGCAGAGAUCAUCCUCUGGCUGGAUUCAGAGAGAUGCUACAGGAGAGGCAGGCAGAGGGGAUGCAGCAGAGGGGACAUAAGAAGUUCCAGUGGAAGAAAGAUGAGAUGUGCUAUAUGGGGCACAUAUGAGGACAGGAGAGAGGGCUCUAGGAGCUGAAAGUGGCUCCUUUAUGACAGUCAGCCAGGAGAUAGGGACUGAAUAACCAUAUUGAACCUGGAAGCAGAUUCCUCACCAGAGCCUCCAGUGAGAAACAAAGACCUGUGACACCUUGACCCUGUGAGCCUCUUGGGGGAUUGGAACCUACAUAACUGUGAGGUCAUAAGUGGAACUUCAUAAAGCCAUUUGGCUUGUGGUAAUUUCCAUGACUUUUUAACCUCUGGAGAGACUAAGAAAACUGAUAUCCACCUCUCAGCAGGUGGACAUGACUUAGAUGAAGAACAUAAGAAAUCAUCUUGAUGAUGCCAGGAUCAAGUUCUUUGCAGUCAUAGAGAAACAGCAUGCAAAUGCACUGGGGCAGGAGCAUGUCCUUGUGGUCAUUGGAGAGUAAGUACUCUGGUGUGCCCUGAGUAGGGUCACUGAGUAGAGGCCAAUGAUGUGUUCAGAUCCUGUAGGCCUGAAAGUUGGAAUCUUUUUUCUAUGUGAGUCAGAGAGUUAAAAGGCAGCUUGAGCACAGGAGGAUCAUAAUAGAACUUCCCUUAUAAAAAGACUUGUGUUGUAGAAGGCACUAUGGAUUCUAUGAUGAGAAGACAAUGCCAAAGAGAAUCAAGAAAGGCAGUAGAAACUGCAGGGAACCAGUGUUCUGUUCCUGACUAGAGAGGCCAGUCUCAUCCUUGGUGUGCCAGUAGUGGAAAUGGUGGGGGUGAUUGGAUCCUAGAUCCUUUCUGUGGAUUGCCUUCCCAUCACUUCCUAAUGGACGGAAGCUGGGUAUAAGAAGGAAGAAUCAGUGGUGCACCCCUUAUAUCAGACUCAAAAAGAGAAGGAUGGAGUUGCCCUCAGUGGAGCAGCAGAGGACUCUGGAAAGGGCAUAUGAGAGAAGGGACAUGGUAGGCACUCAGUGUAGACAUUGAACUGAGAUCUAUCCUGGAAACGCAGGUGAGGUUGGCACAUUGGCAGUGGGAUAGAGGGCAUCUCCAUCCUUCUCCUUAGUCCAGCCUACUGAUCUGGGAUAUUUGGUCGGUGGACAGGAUUGAGUGUUUUGUAACAAGCCCACCAGCCAUCCUGGUGCUCAGCCAGAGAGGGACCACUGAGGGCAGUGAUCGGUGUCAGAGUGGGAGGGGUCUUAAAUCCACAUUUAAAUGUGUUUUUCUCUUGAGGAGAAAAGGGAUGCAUAUUGUCAAUGACAAGACAUAAUGUUGAAAGAUCAUGUUGUUCUCUCUCCAAUGGGUACAGCUAGGUGGAAGAUGCAGGUGGUGAAGAAUAUCUCUAUGCUGCUCUCUGAAACUGUGCCCAGACCCAUUUCUUACUUCUUGGAGCAAAGAAUGGGAUCCAUGUUUUUAUGACUUAAAUAUUUAAGUCUUAUACAGAACAAGGAAUCAAAGAUGGCAGAAUAGAGGAAGGCUGUACUUUCCAGUUGCUCCACAGCUCAGAAUAGAAGCAGCAGGAGUGCUGUGUUUCACUGAGGUGGGUGCUUGAGGGAAUUCACUAAAGUUCAAUAUUAGACAGCAAGAGACCCAGAAAUGCAGGUAUUUUGAAUAAAGCAAGAAAGAGUACAUUGGAGCCAAGCUAAGGAGAAGCCAUUCAAAUGAGGCAAGGGGUCAGGUUUCAGGGGGUUGAGUCUAGCUUCCUUAUGUCUGCUGUCAUCAGGUUGACUGACAUCUAGGAAGUCCACACCAAAGGCAGAGCAAGAGAAGGGGACACACAAAGUGUUUCCAUAGAACAUUCUAUCCCUAAUAGGGCAAAGGGAUAAUAUCACAAAAGAACAGGUGAGCCUAGCUCAGUCCAUGGGGCGACACAUCUACAUCUGAAGAUGCGUCCUCAAACUUCUAGGACUGGGGCAAUGUCCGGGUCACUAUGAGAUGUAGUGAUGGUCAAAGCCUCUCCGCUCUGGGACAGAGAACACGAAUCAUUCAAAGUGACUUCCCACAAGUGUUGCUAAGCAAAUAAAAAAUAGAAUCAAAUUAAACAUUAGAAAUCAAUCAAAAUGGCAAGAAUUCAUACAUAUCUAUCUUCUCUUUAUAGGAAUUUAAGUGGUCACAUCAUCAAUUGAAAUAUGGAUGCUGUCACAAAGUGUUAAAAAAAUAAGACCUCAUUGUAUGGUGUUUGUAUGACCCUUGACACAGGCAAAAGUAUUCAAAGGCUGAAGUGAAAGAAUGGAAAAUUAUAUUCCAUGUAAACAGAACCCUAAAGUAAGUAGGACUAGCUACUCAUAUCCGACUGAGUAGACUUCAAGCCAAAAUUACUCAGAAGAGAAAAUCUAUACUGGUAAAGAGAACAAUCCAAAACCAAGAGAAAACAGAGUAAAUAUUUAUACUCUAAGUGUCAGUGCACCUAAUUACAUAUAAUAGAUACUGCUUGACCUAAACACUCAGAUAGACCGCCGCAUUAUAAUAAUACUAGGUGUUUUCAACACAAUUUUCACAUAGAUAGGGCAUUCAGGUAUAAACUCAUAAAAGAUUCUUCAGGCCUAAAAAUUUAUUCAUAUGUACCCCACAGAUAUCUUUAGAAUAUUUCAGCCAACAACAACCAAAUUCACGUUACUUUUAGCUGCUCAUGGAAGCUUCUCCAAAAUGGAUCAUAUAUUGCAUCAAAUAACAAGUCUUAGCAAAUAAAAUAAUAAUUAUUUUCAUCUUAUCAGAUCAUAAUGUAAUCAAUACAAAUCCACAGCAAUAAAAACUAUAGAAACUAUAUAAACACACUGAGAUUGAGCAAUACACUUUGGACAUUUUAACAAGUGAUAGAAAAUAUCAGGGGAGAACUUUUAAAAAUCUUUACAUCAACGGAAAAGAAAUAUAUCACAAUCUCUAGGAGACUAAGAAGGCAGCUGUCAGAGGAAAGUUUAUAACUAUGAGUAUCAACAUUAAAAAAUCCCAAAUAAGGAAUCUCUACAUUGAAAAUUAACAACACUGAGGAAAAAUAUUGAGAAGCCAGUAAAAGAUGAAAAGCUUUCCCAUGUUCAUGGACACACAGAAUUAGUAUUGCUAAAAUGGCCAUAUUACAAAAAGCAAUCUACUGAUUCAAUGCAGUUCCCAUCAAAAUUCAAUUACAUUAUCCAUGGCAAACAAACAAACAAACAAAAAACUCCCACAAAAACAGUCCCAAAAAUAUUCUAAGAAAAAAAUUCUGGAAGCAUCACAAUACCUGUCUUCAAAUUAUACUCCAAAGCUAUAGUAACAAAAACUGCAUGGUACUGAAAUAAGAAUAGAUGCAUAGAUCAAUGCAACAGAAUAGAAUACAGAGAGACAAAUCCAGACAGAUGUUGUCUGUCAUCUGAUCUUUGACAAAGGCAUCAAAAACAUACAUGAAAGAAAUAACAGCCUUUUAAAAAAUUGGUGUUGGGAAAAACGAAUAUCCAAGGUAGAAGAAUGAAACUACAUUUCAAUAUCUCACCCAGUUGGAAAGUCAAUGUGAAAUGGAAAUAAUACCCAGGAAUUACAAGAAAAACUUUGAAAUUGCUAGAAGAAAGCAGGGUAAAACUCUUCCACAUAAGCAAAGAGAAUGACUUUGUCUUUAGGAUUCCUAGAGCUCAGGACAUAAUACCAAGAAUUAAUAAAAUAUAUGACAUCAAAGUAAGAAGGUUCUGAACAGCAAAGGAAAUUAUUCAGACCAUGAAAAGAGAGCCUACAGAAUGAGAGAAAAUCUUUGCCAGAUACUCUUCCAACAAGAUAAUACUCAGAAUAUAUAAAGAAAUCAAAAAACACAAAAACUAAAAAAAAUCAAUAAAUCAUUAAAUGAGCCAGGCUUGGUGGUACAAGACAGUAAUCCCAUGGCUCUGAUGCUGAGGCAGGAUUGUGAGUUCAAACACAGCCUCAGCAACUUAUCAAGCUCCUAAGCAACACAGUGAGACCCUGUCUGUAAAUAAAAUAUUUUAAAACGGUUGGGGAUGAGGCUCAGUGCUUAAGUGUCUCUGGGUUCAAUCCCUGGUACCACCCCCCCAAAAGCUAAGUGAACCAAAUAAAUAUUUCUCAAAGGAAGAAAUACAAAUGGCUUUUAAAAAUGUUCAACAUUUUUGCUACAGGGAUUUGCAUUCAGGGAAAUAAAAAUCAAUUCUACACUGAAAUCUUGUCUUAAUCUAGUAAGAAUGAUAGUCAUCAAGAAUACAAAUAAUAAUAAUACUGAUGAGGUUGUGGAAAAAAGAUUUAUUCAGUGUCAGUGGGACUGAAAAUUAGUACAACCACUACGGAAAUCAGUAUGGAGGCUGAUUCAAAAGUCCAGAAAUGGAACCAACAUAAUACUCAGUUAUGCUACUCUUUAUGAUUUAUCCAAAAGAAUUAAAGGGAGUAUACUAUAGUAACACAUGCAUAUCACUGUUCAUUACAGCACAAUUCACAAUAGACAAAUUAUGGAGCCACGCUAGAUGCCUGCCAACAGAUGAAUGGAUGAAGAAAAAGUGGUAUAUACACAAAAUGGUGUUUUAUCAGCCACAAAGAAGAAUGAAUUAUGCCAUUUGCAGGGGAAUGAAUGGAACUUGAGAAGUUUGUUAAGUCAAAAUGCCACACUCAGAAGGGAUGGGAAAGUAAUGGAAUUAGAAUGGAGACCAGUAGAGGAAAGUGACUAGUGGGAGAGUGGAGGUAAGAGAAUGAUGAGUUACUAAGAAAUGAAAUUGACCAAAUUAAAUUGUGCACAUAUAUGAAUAUGUUGUAAUAAGGAAUACCACUCAUUGUUUAACUGUACAUUUUUAAAAUGAAAUUUUAAAAUGAUAAAGAUUGCAUUCAGAAAAAUGCAAGUCAAAACUGUCAUAUAUAUAUACAAGUACAAAUGCAAAAUGCUGAAAGCUAAUUUCAUUUUGAGGAGGGCCACAGAGAUUACUGCUCUCCAGACCCAUUUCCCUCAUUCCAUUGUGGGAUAGUGGUUCAAUUUGCCUUCAAUAGUCAGCAUCCAUCAUUUCAGCCAGCACAGUAACUCUGUUGAUUGGCUGUUGGUUUGGCCUAACUUUCAGUUCAAUGUGUCUUGUGGUGGCAGUAUUCCUGCCUGUGGAUGUUAAACCUCAAGCCAGCAAAACACAAAGGUACUGGUACAGGAAGCAUAAAUUUUGCCAGUAAGUCCUUAGAGGCAAGAGAGCAUGUGGCCACUUCAUUUCCAAUUUGAUUCCUGGCCUGAGAGAAAUAGCACUAUAUAUUGAACAAUGAUUCAGAACAUAUUCAGGCUUAUGGAGAACCUUGACCUUGCCUUGCAAGGUAGUGCAGGCUUGUUAGCACUGUAACUGACUUCAAAAAGCCCUUCCACCAUUCUACCAAGACACCUGCUUCAGGAUGGUGGGGAGCAUGGUAAGACAUUCAUGAGCACCAACCCAUUGCUUUACUUCUUUGGAUAUGAAGUAACUUCCUUGAUCAGAAGCAAUGCCAUGUGGAACAUCACGAUGAUGCCAAAGGUAUUCUAUAACCCACAGACAAAAUUUUGGCAAAAGCAUCGCCUGUAGGGAAGGUAAAUCCAUAGAGGGUAAUUGUCUAUUCCAACAAGAAGAAAACACUGCUGCUUCAGGGAUGGUAGCUGUCCAGUGUAAUUGACUUGCCACAGAUAGCUUCUAUUCACCAAGGGAAAUGGUAUUCCAUAUGGGGAUUCAGAGUUGUUCCUGCUGCUGGCAGACUGACUACAACCAACUUGGCCUUGGCAAGCAAAAGUAAGUCCUUGUUGCUGUGCUCGUGCAAAACCUCCAGCCAUGGUACCAUGACCGCAUAUAUCAGCAGCCCAUUGGGCAAUAGGAAGAGUGGCUGGGGAAAGAGGAUGUCUGGAAUCUAUAAAAUUAUGUACCCCGUCCACUUCACUGUUAAAAUCUUCCUCUACUGAAUUCACCCGUUUCUUCAAAGUUCCUUGUUACUAAAUUACUAUAAUAUUCCUUCCAAGAUCUUGACAUCCAUUAGCAAAUCCAUUGGUCACAUAAAUUGAUAUAUAAUUACACAUUUGGCCUUUUUCUCUAGAAGACAAGUUAACAGCCAGCUCUCCUGCUUCCAAUUCUGCCCACUGGGAGGGUGCCAUCCAUCAGGGUCAUUCAGGGAUGUCCCAGGAACAGAAUGCAGUAUGGCAGCUGUACACUUGUGCAUGCUGUCUGCAUAUCAUGUAGAACCAUCUGUCAAUCAGGACCAUGAUUUCUCUUUCUCUGUCACUUGGGCAUAGGGAUAUGAGACCAAAGGUACAGAUUGGGAGAGGAGGUAGUAGAGCAGCAGUGAUAGGCAUGGAUGUCUGGGGUACUUCUUCAUGUAUUUGACUUCUGCCUUCAGAGCCUGCUCAGGCCUGAACUCAUAUACACCGUGAGCUUGUAACACUGGAAUGCUCCUAUGUACACACAAGUUUACAACUUGUUGAGUCAGAUAAAUGUAGCACAUGAUGGACAGCUCAGAUCAUAUGGUAACUUGGUUGCCAAGGUUAACUGUUCAGUUUCAGUGGCAGAGGCUGCUAGUGGAAAGCCAACUUCAAUUUCUCAAAUGGAAAGAAGUUACCUGGGGAUAUAGCAGGGUUUUGCCUCAACAUCUUAGGGACCUGCACAUCAAUUCACAUAGUGGGGCUGAUAGAGGUUCUAGACAGCAUUCCUACCUGCCACUGGCACAGCAGCCUGCAGCUAUUGUAGAGCUUUCUAUUGUUCUGAGCCCAACUCAAAAGUAGGAGCUUUUCAGAUCACUCCGUAAAUGGCCUAGAGUAGCACCGCCACAUGAAUAAUGUUCUGCCUCCAAAAUUCAGAGACCUACUAGGCAUUGUGCCUCCUUGAUAUUUAUAGGAGGGGCCAGAUGCAAUGACUCCUCCCUCACUUUAGAAGGAAUAUCUUUCCAUUACUCCUAACAUUGGAUUUCUCUUUUAAUGAGAUAGAAGACCCUAAAUUUUGUCAAAUAUAUUUUUCCCUUGUAACAUGCAAGUGUCUUACUACUUCUCAGUCCCUAGAUCCAAUCAGCAUAAUGUUAUCAAUACAACAGAAAAUCAUGGCUUCUUCUGAAAGGGAAAGCCAUUAAAACCCUAAUAGGUUAGAGAGUUUGUGCCUAUAAAUCAACCAACUCAGGAAGCUAAGGCAGGAGGAUUGCAAGUUCAAGGUGAGCCUGGGUAACACAGCAAAACUCGAUGUCAAGAAAAAGAUUCUUCUGAACCAAAUUAUGACACAGGUCUUAGGAUAUCUUCUGGAAUGAGAUAGCAAAUGUGCCCUCUUCACUAAAGUAUCUCUGAAAGCAAAGAAGAAAACUCCUGUUCUUCCCAAAGCCAAAGUCAAGACUUUGAAGACCAGGAAAGCAGAACUGAAAGGCAUCCAGAGAUUCAAAACAAAUAAAUACAAGGGUUGAGGGUGUAGCUUAGAGGUAGAAUGCAGGCUUAGUAUGUGGAAAGCCUGGGUUUAAUCCCUAGCAGCACCAAGAAAGAAAGAUCCACCCAUGACCCAUCUUCCAAUGGACCCUUCAUUGCUGCUCUGGAGGUAGCCCAAAUAUCCUGUCUGAGGUACAUGCUCAACUGCUCCUAAUUGUGUUGCUUUGGAUGUUGCCAACAGAAUGUGGGUCAUUUAAACUCCAUCCAGCUGGAUAAUUCUAAAUACAAUUUUUUUUUCAUCAUAGAGGAGAGAGAGAGAGAGAGAGAGAGAGAGAGAGAGAGAGAGAGAGAGAGAGAAUGAAUGUAUCUUCUGUCCUUGAGAGCUAAAGACAAACUGCUAAUGUAGGCAUUAUGGACGACAAUGGAGAUAAAGCCAUUUUCCAAUCAGGUGUGGUGGUAUGCACCUGUAAUUCUAGAAAUUCAUGAGGUUUGAGGCCAGCCUCAACAACUUAGCGAUCCCUUGUGUCAAAAUAAAAAAUAAAAAGGGCUGGGCAUGUAGCUCAUUGGUAAAUAGUCCUUGGGUUGGUUAUUUAGCAUCCCCCCCCCCAAAAAAAAGGUGUUUUCUAGGUUAAUAGCUGCAUAUCAGUUUCCAGGGGAUGUGUUAUUUUGCUCAAGCAAUAAAACCACAUCUGACAUAGUAGUUGCGAUUGGAGGGUGCUCCUUGUUAAGAUUACAACAAUCCACUGUGAUUCUUCAAAUUCCUCUUUCUGCAGCAGAAGUCAGACAGUUGAGUUGAAUGGGGUUGGGGUAGCAAUCACCACCCCUGUAUUUUUUAGAUCCUUGUUGGUAGCACUAAUCUUUGCAGUCUAUCCAGGAGUGCAGUAUUAUUUGCUUAGGUAGAGGCAUUUCAAGCAGCUUCUGCUAGAAGGUGGUGCCUUCCCACCACAACAGCCCCCAUUCUAACAUCAAUAUGUAAACCUGGAGACCUUGCCUGUUGCUGAAAUGGUUUAUUGCAUUAUGCAUUUAGGAACUGUGGGAUAACCACAGAAUGGGUUAACAUUUUGGUCCACUUUGAAAAGAAACUGAGCUAAAACUCCAUUGAUUUUCUGAUCUCCAUAAGUUCCUGUUUGGACCAGGGAGCCAUAGUGAUAUUUGGUGUCUCUGGAAACGAGUGUUAAUUUAGAGUCAAUGUCCAAUAAUAAAAUAUUUGAUUAUUUCCUUUUCCCCAAUGCACAGUUUCCCUACUAAUAGCACAUAGGGUCCCUUGAUGAAGGCUGGGAGUAAGAUGAACUGUAGGAAUUUUCAGUAGUGCAUUGAAAGGAAUCCUUCCUCAAGGAAGCUGACUUCCCUUCAUUCCAGGGUUCUGUGUGUGUAAACUGGCUCAAGUCUGGCAGAUGAUGGAGGGAUUGUGUCUGUGUUCUUAUGAACCAAGGUAGAUGUGUGUUCAUUUGUCCUAGAAAUGUUUAGUUUAUAUACAUGAAGUAAGAAAUAAGUAGGCUUUGUAACUGUUUCACUUCUAGGAAUAUCAGGACAAGUGAUAUAAAGCUAAUGCCAUCAGGGCACCAGCCACACUACUCUGACUGUUGCUAUGGCUGGUGUCCAUUACAGAAGCCACAUUCACCUUAAGGCCUUUGGCUACUGAGUGCCACCACUUGUCGACCUUAGAAUCCAAUUAUGCUCAUUAUAUUUAAGUUUUCACAUUCAGAGACUGCAGUUUGUACUGUGCACUUCUGGCCUCAUGGAAGCAAGGAGGUCACAAAUACUCCAAGAUUCCACUUAUAAAGUGUCUAAAGCAGUCACACUCUUAGAAUCUGCAAACAGAAUGCUGGUUGCCAGGGCAGAGGAUGGGGAGGUUUUGUUGAAAGGACAUAGUUUCCAUUUUGCAAGAUGGAUAAAUACUAAAGAUCUGAUAUACACCAUGUGCUUAUAGUUUAAGAGUAUGUUAUUAUCUAUUUAAAUAUGAUUUUAAUCAUGGGUAGAGUGGUGCCCACCUGUAAUCCCAGUGACUUGGGAUGCUAAGGCAGAAGGAUUGCAAGUUCAAAGUCAACCUCAACAUCUUAAGGAGACCCUGUCUCAAAACAAAAAGACUACAGAUGUUUCUCAGUGGUAAAGCAUCCCUGAGUUGAAUCCCCAGUACCCAGUACUGCCCCCCAAAAUCAUUUCAAUAGUUAACUUGGAGUUGCUGCAAUAAAAAAGUGAAUCCUGAUACUAAUUUAGUUGUGUGUGUGCUUGCAUGUUUGCUCCUCAGGAUAGAGCCCAGGGAUGCUCUCACUGAUUAUAUCCCCAGCCCACUGCCUCUCACUGUUUUCUUUUUUUUUAAAUAUUUUUUUAGUUGUUGGUUGACUUUAUUGCCUUUAUUUUUAUAUGGUGCUGAGGAUCGAACCCAGGGCCUCACACAUGCUAGGCGAGCACGCUACCACUGAGCCACAAGCCCAGCCCUCUCCCUGGUUUUUGAGACAGAAUUACACUACUUACCCAGCUUAGCUUCAAAAUUGUGAUCCUCCUACCCUAGCCUCCCAAGUAGCUGGUAUCAUGUUUCUGCUCCAGAUACAGAAGCCUAGUCCAGAUGCAAGUAUGUCAGAAGGGCCUAGGAUGGAUAUUAAUUUCCAAGAAGAUAAAAUAAAAAUAAGAAACAAAAAUUAACAAAGUCAGAACAUUUUUGAGUCAUAUAAAUAGCAACAUUACCAAUGUUAAAUUAUUAAGAGGAGCACAAAAAAUAAUCAAAAGAAAAACAAAGGUGAUUAUUAACUCCCAAGGAUUGUUAUACCAGGAGUGAAAUGAUGUACCAGAAGUGGAAAGUAUGGAAGUUUAUAUAUGAGAGUGAUUGUCAUGGAAACAAAAGUGGAAUAUCUGAGCUGAACAUAAUUUACAGAUGAAAACAUUGGAAGACGGAGGAAGGGAAGGAGUAAGAGAGAGCAAUUACUACUGACUUCUGCAACAGAUCCUGCAAAGGAAAAAACCAGCAGCCUUAAAAAGGCUUUGUAUUUAGGGUUACAGAGGCAAAAGUUGAGGGCUGGGGAUGCAGCUCAUGGUAAUGCGUUUGCCCAGAAUGUGUUAGCCCGGAGUUCAAUCUCUAGUAAAAACAACAAUAACAACAACAACAACAAAAGAAUCAGCUAAAACAUUGAAAGUUGUAGUACCAAAGAAGGUAGAAAAUCAAGAAGAGACAAAGAGGGUCUUUACUUUUCAUGAAAAAUCUUACAUAAAUAGUUCACUCUUUAAUUAGAAAAAACUAACUUGAAUUAAUUUUUUUUGAGAGAGAGAGAAAGAGAGAGAGAAUUUUUUAAUAUUUAUUUUUUAGUUUUCGGUGAACACAACAUCUUUAUUUGUAUGUGGUGCUGAGGAUCGAACCCAGCGCCUCAUGCAUGCCAGGUGAGCACGCUACCGCUUGAGCCACAUCCCCAGCCCUAAAAUUUUAAAAAGUUUAUGCAAAAUGAAAACUCAGAACAAUAAAUAAUAAUUCAGAAUAAGCAAAUACAAUACUUAAAUACUAAAAUUAAAAUAUGAACGAUGAUGUCAACAAACACACCUCUGGAUAAUAGUGUAUGAGGGUCUCAGUAUGGCGCACACACCUGCAAUUCCAGCUACUCAGGAGGCUGAGGCCAGAUUGAAAGUGUGAGUUCAACCUGGGCACAGUACUGAGAUCAUUUCUCAAAAAGCGAAAAUCGCUGAGGAUGUACCUCUGGGGUAGACUGCUUGUCUGGCAUGUGAUAGCCUUGGAUUCAAUCCUCAAUACCAACAAAUUUAAAAAAUAUAUAUGUGCAUGAAUAAAUUACCUAUCGAGCUUCCCAAUUGUUCCCUUAGGAAGCACAGGCACAAGCAAGGUCCCUCACCAGGCUCUUGCUUCCAGGUGGGUCCUGAACCUAUUCUUGCUGAAGACAGAGGGUGCCCACCCCUGUUGAGUCUCUGGGCCAGGUGCACCUGGAGACUGCAAGACUAGGAAUCAGGAACAACUAAGAUGCAGGAGAGAUCUAGGAGAGGAGGUGGUGAGGAUGAAUAGCGGGGGCAUUUUCUUCUCUCACAGAGACUCUGAAUCUGAUUUUGGAGACUCUGAGAAGAGAAAUGUCCCUAGGGAUAAAAAGUCAUAUUCUUCAAAAUGGAGUGUCUUCUUCCCCACCACUCUGCAUGCUUCAGCUGGACCAAAGGUGGCCAAUGCUGGUGUCUGAUUCACACACAUUCUGGGUCGCUUACUCUCAACAUCUUAGUCCAUAAGCACCUGCCAGUCAUUUUUUUUCCCCCAGGCCAACUGACCCCUAUUGCUCAGCAUAAGGACACCUCAAAGUUCCAACCCUGUCCUGUCCAUCAAUGUGAUCCUCCAGUUCAUCACACUAGGGCUCCAACUCUUCAGGGCAGAUGUGCUCCACAGCAUCAUCCUGGAAGCUUGACACAAGCUGCAAGGUGCUGUUAUGGUUCCUCUUCACCAUCUGCUGAUGAUUCAGGACUUGUGAGCUCCUGAGCUAAGGGAGAAGAUAAAAGUCAGUGUUCAAAUGACUGCAGAAUAUGACAUUUAUUCCUCAGGACCUCUCCUUUCUCAGACUCUCCAAAAUCAGAUUCAGAGUUUGAGUGAGAGAAGAAAAUGCCCCCACUAGUUUUCCUCACCAGCCUCCUCUCCUAAAUCUACCAGCAGCCUCACCUGCCUCAGUUUCCACCAUGCAUCACUCAAGGGAAUGAAAGACCAAAGAAGUAAGAGACAAGAUCCCAAAGUGAAGCCCAGUGCCUCUCCUCUGCCCAACCAUUCCUGACAGAAUAGGGACCUGCCAUAGAAGAAAGUUCCUGCUCCUGCCAAUCCUGGGCACAGGGUUCACACAUAGGCCUUUACCCCUUUAAUAUCCAAGGCCUCCUCUGCUGCAGGGGCAGGUGCUCACCAAGCAGGGUCUGCUCCAGCUGCAGCUCAGCAUCCUUUCCUCUCAGCCCUGAGCCAGAAGCUCCUAACUGGAAAGCCCACCAGGAAGCCCAGGGGCACCAGCAGGCCCAGCCAGGAAAACAUGCCUCCCCUCUGGUCUGCUGCUCACCUGACCUGAAGCAGCCCACACACAGCAGAAUCCCUGACCCCCAACACUUACUCAGGUCCCUAAUCUGUACUUUACCCUCCUAGGGCCUACCUGGCCCAUCUGCCCCAGGAAAUCAGCUACUCUCCAAGGGGUUCUGCUUCCUGAGACUGCCUCACCUUUUUCCCCCCAUCCGUAGCAGGGACUCACACAGGCCACAACCUUGGAGGUGUAGCUCAGUGGUAGAGCACCCCUGGGUAAAUCCUCACUACUUCUAAAAGAAGAAGAAGGGAAAAAAGAUGAGCUGAAAAUGGAAAUAUUUUUAUUGGGUAUGAACAUUUAGAGAAGAAAUUUGGAAAUAUGAACAUCUGAUCUCCACUCUUUUCUACAAAUGUUCCAGUGAAAUUGCAGGCUGUGGGGAGCCACUCUGAAUGAACACACCUUCAAGUCCUGACACAGGGGGCUCUGACCAAUUACUACAUUUCUUAGUGACUUUCAUAUUGUCCCAGCUGAGAUAGCAAGGCAUGGCUUCAGGUGUAGGUGUACCGCUGGGAUUGAGUUAUACUCACCUGCUGCCUUCUGCCUUUUUUGGAUAGAACUUUCUCAAAAACAGCAUCCCCCCAAAUAAAAGCCCACUUCUGAAUGUGCUUGUCCUCUCUCUCGCCAGCCUCUGUGACUUUCUCUUGCUCUCCUUUUGGGGAACUUGAGGCCGGGAGCUGGGGAAAGUUGUCCUGAAGCUUGUGUAAAGGUAUUUCGUGUCUGUGCUUUAUUUUGCGUCACCCCAAAUUCACACGAGUGACCUUAGUUCACCGCCUGUGCUGGACAGGGGUGGCAGUAGGCAACUAUUUUUCCCCACAGAGAACCAGAACUAGCUUUCACCCUACAGCAGAGGCUGCAGGUGAGAGCAGCAGAGAGCACUGAACCAUCUGCCCUGGAGGGAGAGUUACCUGGACAGCUCCUGCUGGGGGGCAGGUUUCCCAGACCCAAGGGGCCAAACACUCACUACCCCCACUGCUGACCCCACAGAAGGGGCAGAAACAACAGAAAGAUCCUCCAAACCAGUAACUAACUAACUUUGUUUCCUGCUGAAACACCAACUUCCUGUUUUCUCUUUUCCUGACCCUCCAGCAACCUGAUUGGUGACAGGGGAAUGGUUUUGACCAUCCCUUACUCCAAAUGCACAGGGGAAUGACCAUCUUAUAAAGGGGAAUAGCCAAGGGAGGGCAGGGUGAGCAGAGGCCAUAGAGCACAGACUCAACACACCAACACACACAGUCCUUGGGGAGCGUGCCCUCUGGGGCUGGAAGGAAACCCUAAGUGUCACAGUCAGCUUUCACUACUUUGACAAAACACCUAAAGUAAAACACUCGGGAGGAAAAAUUUACACUGGCUCAAGUUUCGCCAGUUUCAUCCCAGGGUCCCUUGGCCCCAUUCCUGUGGGCUAGAAAGGCAGAAAAUAAUGAUGGCCAGCACAUGACAGAGUGAUACUUCUCACCUCAUGGUGGUCAUGUGGUGGCCAGGAAGCAGAGAAAGAGAGAGCCAGGAACCUGGGACAAGAUGUUCCCUUCAAGGAAUGCCUCUUCCAACUAGGCCCACCUGCUAAAGCUUGCACACCUUCCAGUAGGACCAACACCUGGGGCCAAGCCUGCAACUCAUGAGCCUUUGGGAGAUAUUCCACAUGGAAACUCUAACACCAGGUAGAACAAAAACGGACUACAGCUGCCCACAGUGGCUGGUCUCUCUCCCCAGAUGGUCGGAGGCAUCUGCUUUUUCAUUUUUCCAUAACAUCUGUGAAGCCACUCCUGAUGGACGACCAUUGUGGUGGGGCCUGGGAUGGAGUACAUGCCCUAGUGACCCAGUGGACACACACAGGAGACAUCCCUGAGGAGUGACUGGAGAUGCUGAUAAGAUAGAAGAUAACUACAUGUGCUGAAGACCCCUGGGCCUGCUCUACAUGGGCCUCCCAGGGCACUGGUGCCACAGGCCUCAAGGUUCUUCUUAUUGGUUUGCACAGGACAGGUGGAAAGACAGGAAAGAGGCAGGCAGACAGGAAGAAACCAGAGGCAAUAGCCUUUGUGGGAUUUCUCUAGAGUUUCUAAAGAACACAAAUCACAGAUCCUUUUAUACUUUGUCCGCCUGAUACCGUGAUAAUCUAGCCCAUGCAAAUCAGCCCACCAUUCCCAACUCCUGGUCAAGACCUAAAAGCUUGAUACAGAGAGAGAUGAGGACAGGGACAGAGCAGGAGAAAACCACACUGAAGCUCACCCCUAACCCUGUGACAAGAAUAUGGUGCAGCUGGGCCUUUGAGGAUGUUCACGGCCCUUGGCUUUUGGCAGGACUAAGGGGAGUACCUGGAGACCUGGCUGCCGGCCCCUCACAAAAAAAGACACAUCUAUCCCUGUUCCAGAAGUCUGGUCACCUCCACUGCACUCUGUGCAGCAUGAGGCAUGAGGGACCCUACAACCCAGAAUGACCCUGCCAUCUCCAUCCACUGCCCACUUUUCUUACCUGAACCCUCUGCGGCUGAAAUUGUCUCCCUCCUGUUGCUCCAAAGCACAUAAAGGAGAAGAAGAAGAAGAACAGCAUCAACAGCAGCAACCACACCUAGAGAGGCUCGCCAUCGGCUUUGAAGCAGCAGGGUCGGCCCCUAAAACACACAUGUUACCAUCUGGGUUCCCGAGCUUCUAGACUUCCUCCCUCUCACCACCCUGGUCACUGACCUACCCAGUUGGGAACCCCUGCUGGGACACCCAGGCUCACCACAGGGCACAGUGCCAGUGCUCUCUUUCCCACUAUGUCGCACAUGGCAGGUAAAUCUCUGCUCCUGUCCUUGAGGAAUCCUGGUGGACACGCAGGUCUGGUAGGUCCCAUUCCCAUAUGGUAAAAGACUCCCAGAUUGCUGUGUGUCCUGGUUCAGGGGUUCCCCAUCCUGAAGCCAAGUCAGAGAGAUAAUCCAGGGAUAGAACCCAAAAGCCCAACAUGUGGCGUUGAUGGUGUCCUCCAAGGCCUCACCGCAGAUAACAGUCACUACUGGGGACACUAGAGAAGAAAAAGCAGAACCAGUCAGCCAUGUGAUCCAGCCUUACUCCCCUUAAUGGAGGCAGAGGGAACAGGGCUGGUUCUUUCUGCUGUAGUGUCUCUGACCAAAGUCCUCACUGACACUAGACUGCUGCAAAUCUGCUCUCAGCCGAGGGCCUCAGUCCUCUGACUGGCAGGAGGAUGAGCCUCGGGUUUGUGGCCUCACAUUCUCACUUACACAUGUUGAUGUGAGGAGGGGGUGUUAUGGGGAUUCCUUGUUUGUGAGGCCACAAGGGAGCUCUGCAUGAUAAGCAGGUUGGCAGGCAGGUGGGAAGAAGAGGUCUCAACUCCUGCCUAACCCCAGUUGCCUGAGGCUCAGGGUACUUCCUGGUUGUGGCCCAGACAGUCAUAGAUUGCCAAACCCUCCUGUCUUUAUGCAGUGGUUUAAAAGGAUGGGGAAAUCAGAAUACAUCACCCUCACAGAGAACACACGCAUCCCAUAGUACAGAGAAGGCCCCUUAUAUUGAGGCUCUAGGGGAAUGGGGGCUGGGGUACCUAUUGUCUUAUUGAAGGCUAUCCAGGAGUUCAGAUAUCUCUGGAGUCUUCCACCAAUUGUUCCUUGCACAUGGGCCCAUUGAGCCUUGCUUGGACUAUCAUCUGAUUUCCAGUGCUUCUUGACUUCCAUAGCCAAAGUCUGAGCCGAGGAAGGGUGCACUGUCCAGCUGUGAGUCACAGGGUGAAAGGAGAGGAAGGGCUCCUAAUCAUAGUAGAAAUCCCAGAAGCCCCUGGUGCGGUUGUUCUUUUGCAUCUCACAGCCCCAAGACUCCUGGAGGGAAUGAGACCCUGCCCCCAUCCACCAGUCACUUUAGCAUCCCCUGGUGCCUCUGCCUCCCUUCCCACCAAGAGAAACUCCAGCCCACAGAGGAUCCCAGCAUGGCUCUCUCUCUCUUCAAUGUCCCUGUGCUGAGCUCUAUGGACCCCAUGCUUGCCCUUCCCAGACAAAUGCAGUGAGAAGAGAGGUCCCUGCUCUCUGCCCCCAGCCUUUCUGCAGAAAGACCCUUGCCCCCACCUACACUCACCUUCUUUCUGCCUCUGCAGACUGAUAAUAUCUGCCAGAGUCAUUCUGAGGUUUUUCCCACUCCCUGCCAAGUCUUGGGUCUCUGUGUUCCAGGUCUCGGCUCUCAGGAUUGUCUUUGCCCACAGUGCCUCAUUCACAAUCCCACUACCUCAUUCACACCAAAGGAAUGGGAAUCCAAAUUCCCUGGAUUCCCUGCACUGUGUGUCCACUGUCAUAGUGCAGGAAGGGCUUAUCAUCCAAAAGACCCUCAGAAAAGAACUGUCGUGCACUAAAUGGUUCUGGGAUCUCAUUUUUAGGUUAUAACGAAAACUGUGGGACCCUGAGGAAGAAGAUACCAGGGAUGAUUUUUUUCUUCCUGGAAUCAAGAGCUCAAGAACAUGCAAAACAUAGUUUUGGCCUCCUGGUGACAUAACUAAAAGCAAAAAUAGACCAUUGGAAUAACAUCAACCUAAAAUAUUCCUGCCUAGCAGAGAAGACAAUUUAUAGAGUGAAGAGACAACCCCUGGACUGGAAGAAAACAAUCAUAGGUCAGAUAAUGGUUUAAUACACAAAAUAUACAAAUAACCUUAUAUUUAACAUGGGUAAAGACGUUGAAGAGACAUCUGUCAAAAUAUGAUACAUAAUUGGCCAACAGAUAUGUGAAUGAAUGCAAAUGCCAAUUAAAACCAAAAGGAACUAUUUUUUCACACUUAUUAGAUUGGUCAUUGUGAAGACACAAAGAGUGUUGGGAAGGAGGUAGAAAAAGGGGUGUGCACCACUGGUGUUGCAAUUUAGUAGAGUUAUUUUGGAGAAUAGCAUGGAGGUUCCUCCCAAAACUAAAAUUUUUGCUUUAUCCAGCAAUCCCACUACCUCAUUCACACCAAAGGAAUGGGAAUCCAGAUUCCCUGGAUUCCCUGCACUGUGUGUCCACUGCAGCAUCAGUCACAACAGUCAAGAUAUAGCAGCAACCUAAGUGUCCACAAAUAGAUGAGUGGAUUUAAAAACUGUCUUAAGCCACCUGGUGCACACCUAAAAUCCCAGCUACUCAGAAAGCUGACACAAGAGGAUUGCUUGAGCCUGGAGUUGGAGGCCACCCUGGGAAAAACAGCAGCCCACCCUCAAAAAGAACCCCCUCGCCAAAAACCAAACCAAACCAAACCAAAUCAUUAUGGGAUAUACACACAAAAGAAUAUCAAUUAGCCUUUUUAACAAAAGGAAAUUAAGGAUGAAAAUGUAGCUUAGGGAUAGAGGACUUGCCUAGCAGUCACAAGGCCUCAGAUUUUAUCACCAGAAACUUCUUAAAAAAAAAAAAAAAAGCUAGGGAAAUUUGUCAUUUGUGACAAUGUGGGUGGAAAGUAGAGGCCCAUAAGAGAAAUUAAAAAAAAAAAAAAAAAAAAAAACAGGCAUACAGAGACAAAUGAAUGGACAGAGAAAGGAGAGACACUGGUAAAAGGCCACAAAGUUUCAUUUGGAUAAGAGGAAGAGUCUGGUGUUCUAUAGCACAACAAAGCUUCUCCACUUAAUGCUGUAUAUUUUAAAAUAACAAGAAGAAAAGAUUUUAAAUGUUCUGACCAAAAGGAAACCAUAAAUAUUUGAGGUGAUGGAUAUGCUAAUUACCCCAAAUUGAUUAUUCUAAAAUGCAUCCAUAACAUUACAUCCCAGAAAUAGAUUCAACUAUUUGUCAACAGAAAAAUUUUUGGAGAGGAAAUCGAACUAAACAUCAUUAAAAAAAAAAAAAAGUUGGGGCUCUGGAAAGUUUGGGUGAGGUAGAGAGGCAGCAGUGGAUAAAACUUCUUGUAGGAAAUGGCCCCUAAGAAUAGGAGGAAAGGACUGGGGUUGGGGAGACAGGGUAUCUAGUGUGCAGGAAGCACAGACCUAGGAUGCAGUGUCUACCUUAGAAAUGGGUCUGAAAACACAGCAGGAGUGGGGGAGGUGAGGGGAAGCCAACAGGCUGAGGAGACAUGUUGGGUGACAGGGAAGGAGGCAUAGAGAUCUGGUGAAAACACAGGCAUAUUAGAAAAUAGAUAGCAUAUUAGGGUGAGAGGAGUACAAGGGGGGACAGCAUCCCAGGGCGCAGGAGUCCAGGGGACAAUGUGGGUGGAAAUUAAAAAAGCCCCAGCAAGAAGAUCUUGACUCAGCAAUCUUAGCUGUUCACUUCCCUCAGUCUGAGUGUUUGAUGCAGCCACAGUCCUCACAGAGGCAGGAAGGGCUCUAUGGGGCUGGGACGUCCCUACUAGCUCAGGGCCAGAAGAAAAAAGGUCUCCUAACUGGGGACUCCUGUGAGCUCAGCUGAAAACAAGCCUAUGACUGCGAGGAAAGCAGGGGCUUCAGGAGCCCGAACUGUCCGUAAUACUGUUGGGAAGAGGUUCCGUGAGCCGCGGACCUCAAAGGGUCCUUCAAUGUUUUUCAAAGGAGAAACUCAGCAUGCACCUCGGGAAUCCAGAGGCGACAGAGGACCGGGAUGUCCAAAAGGGAAGAGCAAGGCGCAGGGCUGGGGCAAGUAAGCAUGGAUUUAGGACGCAGGACGUAGGGGUGGCAAGGUGCUUAGAAAGCGAAACUGCAUGUGGUGGCAAUGACCCGCGUCAGGUCCAGCUCCUCUCCCCACCAAACCAGACCGCUCAUCUUAACCGGGAGGGUUCCCUCGGACUCUCACAGAAACCCGCCCGCCUCCCUGCAGUAGCCGGGCAGCUCCUGCACCUCCAGGAACCACAUAGAGCUCACUCACCAGCGGCAGCACACAGGGGUGCCCAAAAGGCAGUUGUGGCCAGGAGCAGCAGGACGCGACACAGCCCAAUAGAGACCAAACUUGACAUCCUCUUAUCUGGUGAGCAGGAUGGAACUCUAAGAGGGUUCCCCGAAGGCAGAUCAUAUAUAGUUCUCCUGGCCCCUCCCACAUCCACUCACCCAAUGAAAAUAGACGCCUUGAACAUGAAUGCAGAUCUUCAGCCUACACUUGACCAGGACAGGUCUUCCAAGUGUCACCACUCCAGCAUAAAAAACUAUAUUCAUUUCACUUUGUCACCUCUAAAAAAUGUUUUCUAAAAAACGAACUAUAGCUAUUCUUACUAUUGCCUAAGGCUCUAGCUUGUGCUUUUUCUGUGAGUGGAAAUGUCAUGCACCAACAAAGUUUUGACAAUUUCUUAGACUUAUUUUCAUUUGUAGUAAGUAUUUGAUUGAGAUUUUUUUUUUUUUUUUAAAGCACAGAAGGCACUGGCGUCCAGUCCCAUUCUGAGUUUAUUUUCAUUAGUUACAGGGGCGGGGAUGAUGUUAAGUUGGAGAUCCCUCGCUUUCCUGGUUCAUCAGCUGAUAGGUGGCAUAAAGUGGACACCUCUGCCUCCAUAAUCAAGUAAACAAGUCCUCAUAAUAAAUCCCCUCUUAUUGACCCCCACUUGCUUCUGGUUGAUUCUGUUUCUCUGGAAAACAUUGACUAAUAUAAGCCUCCAGUAAGUGCUGGGUCACAGUUAUUGUGAGCUGAUCCCAAGCCCUUUCAAUCUCUAUGUUUUCUAUGCAUCUUUGAGGACUCACUUGGAGUGACAGCUCCAACAAACUGUCUCAUUCCACCCAUAUUCAAAGACUUUUCUUACCUUAAUAAUUACAUGCUAGGAUUAUUCCAGAGCAUUUACAUAUGGCUCAAGGGAGAAGAAGCCUCAGAGGAGGCCCUGAAGGUCUUGGGCUCCAGAUGUUGGGCAGUGCCCAGGAUCAAAGCCUGGCUGCCCCUCCCCCAGCAAGCCUCCCAGAUUCUCAUCUGUGCAAGAUACUGCUACCUUGUCCCUCCCCCUUCAGACUCUUCUGCUCUGCCCAAUGAACUACUGCUUCUCUCCCCCUCUCUUCUUUGCAUCUCUGAAUUCAUAAGAACGGGAGCGACUUACUCCUCACCCACCUUAGGAUUCACUGCUGAGUCCUGAAAAGCAACAGAAAUCACUCAGUGGUGUCCUUUAAACCCAGGGCGGGUCUCACGCACUAUUUCAGGUCUUUGUGGCCACAUUUACCCAGAAGGACUGAAGAUCACCUGUUACCCACACUGGCUUAACUAAAAUAAAACCUGUUGAUUGAUGUACAAGCAGAUUGAAGGUGCUUAUGGGAGUCUGGAGGAAGGCAAGCUGCAUUUGGGUUUGGGGUUCUCAGACUGCUAGGCAGAUACACCUGCGAGCUGUGAGAAUGUAGACCCAGUGGCUGGCGGAAGGACGUUCUGAAGUGUUAAUCAAGAUCUGAAACCCAGCAUACUUCAGCCAACAUUGCCUGUAUUUUGAUGCGGUUGGGUACUGAAAUGCUUUUUCCAUCCCAUCCCCCACUUCCACAGGGAGAGCAGGUGGGGGGGCAUCUUGGGUUCUAGGAUCAGAAACACUCCUCUGCUUGGUGGCCCACCAAGAAUGUAAGUGCCUACCUCAGGAUGGUCCUAAUUGAAACCUGCCAGAUCUGGAAUAAAAAUCAACAAUCAUGUUGCAGUGAGGCCACCCAGCGCCCACCACUUAUACAAGCUGGGUGAGGAGCCCUGAUUUAUCAGGUCUGUCUCAAGUGGAUGCAGUGAAGUGCCUUUGGCUCCAGAUUCCAAACCAUAAAGGAUGAAAUGGAGAGUGAAGAAAAGCAAAUGGUGGUGGAACGUGGAUCAUGCGUUGAAGAAAGAAAGAAAAAGGGGUGAGGAUUGGGGAAAAUAACAUGAAUAUAGGAAGAAGAAGCAAGGACAAAGCAGGAAAGAGCAAGAGAUGCAGAACUGAGGGGACUGCAGGCUCUGCUCUCUUCUGCCUUCCCCUAGGAUUGGGCUCUGCUGUCCACUUAAGACCCCAGAGGAGGACCAAGACUCUACAACACCCACUGCAGAGAAAGCUACAGUUUUUCUACAUUGAUUAUAUUUAAAACCAAACUAGAUCCAAUGUAAAACAAAUGAAAGAAAUGAAAUACAAUAAUAUUCUGAUGUUUUUCCAUGAUUAAAAAUCCAACAGAUUUUUAAAAUAUCAUCUUUAAAGUGUAUUUGGCAGUCCAGAGUGUAUCUCAGUGGUAGAGUACCUGCUUGGCUUGUGCCAAGCUAUGGAAAGCAACAAACAUGAGACAAAAACAAAAUACCCACCAAAUGUUUCAAACAUGGAGACUCUUCCUACUAUUCAGAGCAAGUAUUUACAAAACUCUUUGAUUUUAUUUCUUGCGCUAUAGGAGUCUUAUUAAGGAAGUUGAGGCCUAAUCCAACAUGNAACUUCUUAAAAAAAAAAAAAAAAAGCUAGGGAAAUUUGUCAUUUGUGACAAUGUGGGUGGAAAGUAGAGGCCCAUAAGAGAAAUAAAAAAAAAAAAAAAAAAACAAAAAAACAGGCAUACAGAGACAAAUGAAUGGACAGAGAAAGGAGAGACACUGGUAAAAGGCCACAAAGUUUCAUUUGGAUAAGAGGAAGAGUCUGGUGUUCUAUAGCACAACAAAGCUUCUCCACUUAAUGCUGUAUAUUUUAAAAUAACAAGAAGAAAAGAUUUUAAAUGUUCUGACCAAAAGGAAACCAUAAAUAUUUGAGGUGAUGGAUAUGCUAAUUACCCCAAAUUGAUUAUUCUAAAAUGCAUCCAUAACAUUACAUCCCAGAAAUAGAUUCAACUAUUUGUCAACAGAAAAAUUUUUGGAGAGGAAAUCAAACUAAACAUCAUUAAAAAAAAAAAAAAGUUGGGGCUCUGGAAAGUUUGGGUGAGGUAGAGAGGCAGCAGUGGAUAAAACUUCUUGUAGGAAAUGGCCCCUAAGAAUAGGAGGAAAGGACUGGGGUUGGGGAGACAGGGUAUCUAGUGUGCAGGAAGCACAGACCUAGGAUGCAGUGUCUACCUUAGAAAUGGGUCUGAAAACACAGCAGGAGUGGGGGAGGUGAGGGGAAGCCAACAGGCUGAGGAGACAUGUUGGGUGACAGGGAAGGAGGCAUAGAGAUCUGGUGAAAACACAGGCAUAUUAGAAAAUAGAUAGCAUAUUAGGGUGAGAGGAGUACAAGGGGGGACAGCAUCCCAGGGCGCAGGAGUCCAGGGGACAAUGUGGGUGGAAAUUAAAAAAGCCCCAGCAAGAAGAUCUUGACUCAGCAAUCUUAGCUGUUCACUUCCCUCAGUCUGAGUGUUUGAUGCAGCCACAGUCCUCACAGAGGCAGGAAGGGCUCUAUGGGGCUGGGACGUCCCUACUAGCUCAGGGCCAGAAGAAAAAAGGUCUCCUAACUGGGGACUCCUGUGAGCUCAGCUGAAAACAAGCCUAUGACUGCGAGGAAAGCAGGGGCUUCAGGAGCCCGAACUGUCCGUAAUACUGUUGGGAAGAGGUUCCGUGAGCCGCGGACCUCAAAGGGUCCUUCAAUGUUUUUCAAAGGAGAAACUCAGCAUGCACCUCGGGAAUCCAGAGGCGACAGAGGACCGGGAUGUCCAAAAGGGAAGAGCAAGGCGCAGGGCUGGGGCAAGUAAGCAUGGAUUUAGGACGCAGGACGUAGGGGUGGCAAGGUGCUUAGAAAGCGAAACUGCAUGUGGUGGCAAUGACCCGCGUCAGGUCCAGCUCCUCUCCCCACCAAACCAGACCGCUCAUCUUAACCGGGAGGGUUCCCUCGGACUCUCACAGAAACCCGCCCGCCUCCCUGCAGUAGCCGGGCAGCUCCUGCACCUCCAGGAACCACAUAGAGCUCACUCACCAGCGGCAGCACACAGGGGUGCCCAAAAGGCAGUUGUGGCCAGGAGCAGCAGGACGCGACACAGCCCAAUAGAGACCAAACUUGACAUCCUCUUAUCUGGUGAGCAGGAUGGACCUCUAAGAGGGUUCCCCGAAGGCAGAUCAUAUAUAGUUCUCCUGGCCCCUCCCACAUCCACUCACCCAAUGAAAAUAGACGCCUUGAACAUGAAUGCAGAUCUUCAGCCUACACUUGACCAGGACAGGUCUUCCAAGUGUCACCACUCCAGCAUAAAAAACUAUAUUCAUUUCACUUUGUCACCUCUAAAAAAUGUUUUCUAAAAAACGAACUAUAGCUAUUCUUACUAUUGCCUAAGGCUCUAGCUUGUGCUUUUUCUGUGAGUGGAAAUGUCAUGCACCAACAAAGUUUUGACAAUUUCUUAGACUUAUUUUCAUUUGUAGUAAGUAUUUGAUUGAGAUUUUUUUUUUUUUUAAAGCACAGAAGGCACUGGCGUCCAGUCCCAUUCUGAGUUUAUUUUCAUUAGUUACAGGGGCGGGGAUGAUGUUAAGUUGGAGAUCCCUCGCUUUCCUGGUUCAUCAGCUGAUAGGUGGCAUAAAGUGGACACCUCUGCCUCCAUAAUCAAGUAAACAAGUCCUCAUAAUAAAUCCCCUCUUAUUGACCCCCACUUGCUUCUGGUUGAUUCUGUUUCUCUGGAAAACAUUGACUAAUAUAAGCCUCCAGUAAGUGCUGGGUCACAGUUAUUGUGAGCUGAUCCCAAGCCCUUUCAAUCUCUAUGUUUUCUAUGCAUCUUUGAGGACUCACUUGGAGUGACAGCUCCAACAAACUGUCUCAUUCCACCCAUAUUCAAAGACUUUUCUUACCUUAAUAAUUACAUGCUAGGAUUAUUCCAGAGCAUUUACAUAUGGCUCAAGGGAGAAGAAGCCUCAGAGGAGGCCCUGAAGGUCUUGGGCUCCAGAUGUUGGGCAGUGCCCAGGAUCAAAGCCUGGCUGCCCCUCCCCCAGCAAGCCUCCCAGAUUCUCAUCUGUGCAAGAUACUGCUACCUUGUCCCUCCCCCUUCAGACUCUUCUGCUCUGCCCAAUGAACUACUGCUUCUCUCCCCCUCUCUUCUUUGCAUCUCUGAAUUCAUAAGAACGGGAGCGACUUACUCCUCACCCACCUUAGGAUUCACUGCUGAGUCCUGAAAAGCAACAGAAAUCACUCAGUGGUGUCCUUUAAACCCAGGGCGGGUCUCACGCACUAUUUCAGGUCUUUGUGGCCACAUUUACCCAGAAGGACUGAAGAUCACCUGUUACCCACACUGGCUUAACUAAAAUAAAACCUGUUGAUUGAUGUACAAGCAGAUUGAAGGUGCUUAUGGGAGUCUGGAGGAAGGCAAGCUGCAUUUGGGUUUGGGGUUCUCAGACUGCUAGGCAGAUACACCUGCGAGCUGUGAGAAUGCAGACCCAGUGGCUGGCAGAAGGACGUUCUGAAGUGUUAAUCAAGAUCUGAAACCCAGCAUACUUCAGCCAACAUUGCCUGUAUUUUGAUGCGGUUGGGUACUGAAAUGCUUUUUCCAUCCCAUCCCCCACUUCCACAGGGAGAGCAGGUGGGGGGGCAUCUUGGGUUCUAGGAUCAGAAACACUCCUCUGCUUGGUGGCCCACCAAGAAUGUAAGUGCCUACCUCAGGAUGGUCCUAAUUGAAACCUGCCAGAUCUGGAAUAAAAAUCAACAAUCAUGUUGCAGUGAGGCCACCCAGCGCCCACCACUUAUACAAGCUGGGUGAGGAGCCCUGCUUUAUCAGGUCUGUCUCAAGUGGAUGCAGUGAAGUGCCUUUGGCUCCAGAUUCCAAACCAUAAAGGAUGAAAUGGAGAGUGAAGAAAAGCAAAUGGUGGUGGAACGUGGAUCAUGUGUUGAAGAAAGAAAGAAAAAGGGGUGAGGAUUGGGGAAAAUAACAUGAAUAUAGGAAGAAGAAGCAAGGACAAAGCAGGAAAGAGCAAGAGAUGCAGAACUGAGGGGACUGCAGGCUCUGCUCUCUUCUGCCUUCCCCUAGGAUUGGGCUCUGCUGUCCACUUAAGACCCCAGAGGAGGACCAAGACUCUACAACACCCACUGCAGAGAAAGCUACAGUUUUUCUACAUUGAUUAUAUUUAAAACCAAACUAGAUCCAAUGUAAAACAAAUGAAAGAAAUGAAAUACAAUAAUAUUCUGAUGUUUUUCCAUGAUUAAAAAUCCAACAGAUUUUUAAAAUAUCAUCUUUAAAGUGUAUUUGGCAGUCCAGAGUGUAUCUCAGUGGUAGAGUACCUGCUUGGCUUGUGCCAAGCUAUGGAAAGCAACAAACAUGAGACAAAAACAAAAUACCCACCAAAUGUUUCAAACAUGGAGACUCUUCCUACUAUUCAGAGCAAGUAUUUACAAAACUCUUUGAUUUUAUUUCUUGCGCUAUAGGAGUCUUAUUAAGGAAGUUGAGGCCUAAUCCAACAUGAUGGAGAUUAGGGCCUACUUUUUCUUCUAUUAGAUGUAGAGUCUCUGGUUUAAUUUAUAGGUCCUUGAUCCACUUUGUGUUGAGUUUUGUGCAUGGUGAGAGAUAGGGGUUUAAUUUCAUUUUUUUGCAUAUGGAUUUCUAGUUUUCCCAGCACCAUUUGUUGAAGAUGCUAUCUUUUCUCCAAUGCAUGUUUUUGGCACCUUUGUCUAAUAUAAGAUAAUUGUAAUUUUGUGGGUUAGUCUCUGUGUCCUCUAUUCUGUACCAUUGGUCUACCAGUCUGUUUUGGUGCCAAUACCAUGCUGUUUUUGUUACUAUUGCUCUAUAGUAUAGCUUAAGGUCUGGUAUAGUGAUGCCACCUAAUUCACUUUUAGGCCCAAAUUUCUUAAUAAGACUCCUAUAGUGCAAGAAUUAAAGCCAAGAUUCAACAAACGGAAUGGAAUCAAACUAAAAAGUUUCUUCUCAGCAAAAGAAACAAUCUGUAAGGUGAACAGAGAGCCUACAUCCUGGGAGCAAAUUUUCACCCCUCAUACAUCAGACAGAGCCCUAAUCUCUAGGGUAUAUAAAGAACUCAAAAAUCUAAGCACCAAAAAAACAAAUAACCCAAUCAACAAAUGGGCCAAGGACCUGAAUAGAUACUUCUCAGAAGAGGAUUUUUAAUCAAUCAACAAAUAUGUUGAAUAUGUCAUCACCUCUAGCAAUUAGAGAAAUGCAAAUCAAAACUACUCUAAGAUAUCAUCUCACUCCAGUCAAAAUGGCAGCUAUUAUGAAGACAAACAACAAUAAGUGUUGGCAAGGAUGUAGGAAAAAAGGUACACUCAUACAUUGCUGGUGGGACUGCAAAUUGGUACAGCCAAUAUGGAAAGCAGUAUGAAGAUUCCUUGUAAAUCUGGGAAUGGAACCACCAUUUGACCUAGCUAUCCCUCUCCUCCAUCUAUACCCAAUAGACUUAAAAACAGCACACUACAGGGACACAGCCACAUCAAUGUUUAUAGCAGCAUAAUUCACAAUAGCUAAACUGUGGAGCCAACUUAUAUGCCCUUCAGUGGAUGAAUGGAUAAAAAAAAUGUGGCAUAUAUACACAAUGGAAUUUUAUUCAUCAAUAAAAGAGAACAAAAUCAUGGCAUUUGCAGGUAAAUGGAUGAUGUUGGAGAAGAUAAUGCUAAGUGAAGUUAGCCAAUCCCCAAAAAACAAAUGACUAAUGUUUUCUCUUAUAUAAGGAGGCUGACUCAUAGUGGGUAGGGAGGGGGAGCAUGGGAGGAAUAGAUUGAAUUCUAGAUAGGACAGAGGGAUGGGAGGGAAAUGGAGGGGCAGUGGAAUAGCAAGGAUUUUGGAAUGUGAAUCAUUAUUCACAGUACAUGUAUAAAGACAGGAAUUGGUAUCAAUAUACUUUAUAUACAACCAGAGAUAUGAAAAUUGUGCUGUAUAUGUGCAAUUAGAAUUGUAAUGUAUUCUGCUGUUUUUUUUUUUGAAAAAUCAAGUUAAUCAAGUUUGACUUCAAAUUAAGUAUCUGAUGUCAUCAAAAUACAAUAAAUGAAUCAAAUAAAUGAUUGACAAUACUAAACUAUAAUAAUAUAUCUCUUUCUUUCUUGAAAUAGCCAGAACUAGAGCAAGUCUAAUCAGUACCAUAAUGAGUAUAACAAGAGCGUUGAGCUCCCUGCAAUACUGCAAUGAGCUGUAUAAACAGCUGUGAACUUAAGGUCAAAUAGGAGAUAUGGAUGCUUCGACCCUGAUUUUCUGCUACUGUUCCUAAGUGGGAACAGAAAAUGCCAAUUUCUACAGCAGGCAAAUGUGUAUUUUAUUAUUUUUAACUUUCAGUUUUGCACUCUGCUUACUUUCAUCUUUUAUUGACAUUUUAAAAGAGCUGUUUUCUCUAACCCCCAUAUCUAAAUAUAGGGCUGUUUUUGUAAUGACAGCACCUGUCAGUAUAAGUUUCAGAUAGCCUGGCCUUUUAAAUACAGAUGUGUCAGGAUCUAUGAAUAAAGGGUUUGCUUUAUUCAUUUAUUCAUUCAUUACAUAGCCAAAGUACAAAUUUUGAAGAGAAAUUAUCUAUUGAGCCACACUUUAUCUAAAAUAAAAUGUAUCUAUUUGAAAUGUACAGUUCAUUCAAUUUGGGCACUGACAUACACUUGUGUCACCACCACCAUAAAGAAGAUGAAGAAUAUUCUGAUUAUCCCCCAAAGAAACGUUGUGCAAUAAAAUUCUAUGCAGCCAUCAAAAAGAAUAAGUUUUAAUGCACUGCUGUAAAAAGAGGUGCCCAAAAGAGGUGCCCAACAGUUUUGAGCUUUUUUUUUUUUUAGGUUAGGAAAAUGCUAGAUUUUAAUGCCACUAGUGCAAUUACAUAAUGUACAUUUUUUAAUAGUGGGGAAACCUGGAAGAUUUUGCCCCAAAUUUUGACAGUGUUACUUCUAGGAACAGGUAAAACUCAGUGUCUGUCACUUUCUCUGAAAUGUUGGAAUUGUGUCUUCUCAUAUAAACUUGGUUUAGCAAGGUGUCAGAAUAUUACAGAUUGAAAAUACAAUAAGCUAAACCCCAGAUUCAAAUACUAAUUUUUUAAACCAAAAUAUUAAUUACAGUCCAUCACCAGGAAAUCCCUUAAGAUAAGCCUUCAUAUUUUCAUAGCUUUGAAUCUUCCCCAAACUGCUUUUAAAAGGGAUACCAAGACUGACUUUCUGAUUUAAAAAAGUUUCAAAACCCUUUGGGCAAGAUGGUUUUCUGUAAGGAAUAUAGCCAAUCUGGGGAAGCCCUUGGACUCCACAUAGUAGUGGAGAUGGAAAGAAAGGAAUCCUGUGGGACUCUAUGGGCCCCCAGUGCAGGACUGUGGUUGUGGCAGAGGGGAGGAAACUCAGGCUGACAUAGAAAUGGGGAGAGGGGUAGGGAAAAAUGUGCAAAAUCCCCUCCUUCCUCUACUCUGUGUUUGCUUUGGAGGGGACCAAAUGGACCUGGGGGAGUCUGCAGAAGCAGAAAUACAGGUCUAUUGGAGGGGAAGCCAAGGUCCCCCAGAGUACUUGACUUUCUUCUCCAAGUCCUUAGUAGGAGCAGAGUGUAAAACUAUCAUUUAGAAAUUAGAAAUCAUAUGGCCCACUCUGGUUCAUUUGCAGGGAAACAAACAAACAAAAAAGCCAAAUGCUACCUGUAACUCUUCUGGCCAGUAGAAGGGUCAGUAACUCUUCCUCUCCCUCCAGUGCUAAUUAGAAGGACUCUACUCUGAGACUCUGGGCUCCAGCCCUGCAGCCCUGAGCAGGCCCCUCCUUCCUAAGCUUCCUGACCUCCUACCCAGCCCCACUUCCCUGUGUGUACUUCCUCCUUUUCCCUCUCCAGAACAGCUCCUGAGGGUCUCUCUACUUCUUCAAAAGCCUUCUCCUGGGCACAGAGACCUCCAAAGUUGAGGACAAAAGAGAGACAGUGACCACUGAGAGAAGCUCUGAAGGACACCUGUGUUCCCCAUCCUAGAAGGCUUCUCCCCACCCCCUGAUCUGUGUGUGUGAGAGAGAGUAUGUGCUUGUGCAUAAAUGGACAGUCAACCAGUACUUCACCUGGUAUCUAGGAAAGUUCCUGCCUUGGCUCUGCUGCAGUGGUUCACGUUGUGUAUACCUGAGCCUUUCCCUCAGAAGAGGGGUGAUGAUACUCAUCAAAUCAGUGGCCAACAGCUGUGGUACUCUAAAAAAGGGGUUGGGGACCAACCCCUGACGUCCACAAUGACCAAAAAAGGCGGUCAUUGUGGAUGUCAAAGUCCAUCAGAGAAAUUCCACUAGGGCAGAAUCUCCACGUCACACUUACAUUCAGGCAGUGCCUCAAAUUGAACCAAUGUUCAAAAACCUCCAAAUCUUUGCUCAGGUUAUAUCAUGAAGUUGAUUGAAGUCUUUGAGGUCUGUUUGUGUCUGCAGCUUACCAUGUGAAAGGGCCUGGGAUUGACCCACACUCCACAAAACAAGCAAACAAAAAAGAAUCUCAACAACUCAACCAUAAAAAAAGUUGACUCUAUUCAGAACUGGGCAAAGGCUCUCUACAGCCAGUUCACUGAGGAGAUUCACAAAUAGCCAAUAAGCCCAUGAAGAGAUACUCAAUAUCAGCAGUCAUUAGGGAAAUGAAAACAAAAGCACAAUAAGACUCCACUUUGUACCCAUGAAGAUGGUCACUGUUCAGAAAAAAAAGAAUGCAGAAUGAACAUGCUCAUAAAUAGGUAGAAAACAGCACCACAGGUGCAUUGCUUGCCUAUAUAUGUAAUGGUGCAGCUGCUAUGAAAAUUUUUUGGUGAUUCCUCCAAAUGCUCAAGAGAUACUUUCUAAAUGACCCAGUAAUUGUAUUUCUGGGCAUAAAUACAAAAGCAGUGAAGGCAGGUAAGUGCAGAGACAUUUGUACACCCACAUUUAUAACAGAAUUGUUCCCAAAAUCCAAAAAGUAGAAGUAACCCAACUAUCUAUCAACUGAUGAACUUCUAAUCAAAAUACAGCUUAUAUACAAAGUGAAUAUUAUUCAGACUUAAAAAGGAAGGGCAUUCUGACAAUUGCUACACUAUGUGUGACCUGGAGGACAUGAUGCUAAGUGGAAAAGCCAGUCAUGAAAGGACAAAUUCUGUCCAAGUGCACUUGUAUGAGGCAUUUAGGGAGUCAAAUUUGUAGAGACAGAAUGUACAAAGCCAGCACAAAGAUGACAGGGACUGGGGUGGGGAGGAUGGAUGCUUACUGUUUAAUGGGUACAGGGUUUCAGUUUCCAUAAACGUGUGAACACACUGAAUGCCACUGAAUUAUAUACUUAAAAUGGUUAAAAUAGAAAACUGUACAUUAUAUCUAUUUUACCACAAUUAAACACCAAACAGAAAUCAGGGCAGUGUACUACAGAUUAAUGCAGAAUCAGAAAGAAGGAAAUGGAGGCCUGAGAAGAGAGAAUCAAGGAAGAUGGACAAGUUGCACAACCAGGGGGAGGCCCUUCAGACUGGGAGAGGGUGGUGGGAGCUGGAUAUACCCCCAAAGAGCAUCAGAUUAGAAAACCAUCACAGGGGGAUGAGGGUGGUGCUCAGUAGUGAAGUGCAUAGUUGAGUCCAAGUUCAACGCCCACCACAAACACAUAAAUGAACAAACAAACAAACAAACAAAAACAUCAAGGAGAAAAGUAGUUCUGGGAGAGGCCAUAGUCGGGGAACACCAGGACCAACCAAGUAGCAAAACACAAAUUUUGGAUUCAUGGUGGAGGGAGCAAAAGUCCUCUGAGGACUAGGAACCAAAAAGGAGGCGGAAGGUCAAGGAGCAAAAGGACCAAGAGCCUUUUUAUGGUAUAGAUGGGGAAGUGGGAUGGGAAGGGCAAGUGAGAUUAGUGGCUUGUGGGUUGGAGGAGAACGUGGCAUAUAGGUGACCCUGGGAGAACUUGGGUUAGGAUGAGGACAGUAGUGUUGCUCUGGAUGAAGGCAAAUGAGCUGUAGUGGUUGCAAAGUUCCCACCAGAGCGGACUUGUGACACAUGAAAGUUGGUGAGGGCUCAAAACAGGUAGGCAGGGGAUGGGUGCUGAAAAAGGCCCCACAGCACAGAGGUGCAGAAGGACCAGGGAGAGAUAGAAUCCAGCACUUGCAGGCUGGAGAAUGGAGGCCUCAAAAUGGUGAGGGUUCANGCAGACAUCUGCUAAUGUACCAUCUUGACUCUCUCCUCUUUGGCCAUUUUUAAGUUGGGUUACUUGCUUUGUUAUUGGGCCUUUUGAGUUGCUGAUAAAAGAGAGACAGUGACCACUGAGAGAAGCUCUGAAGGACACCUGUGUUCCCCAUCCUAGAAGGCUUCUCCCCACCCCCUGAUCUGUGUGUGUGAGAGAGAGUAUGUGCUUGUGCAUAAAUGGACAGUCAACCAGUACUUCACCUGGUAUCUAGGAAAGUUCCUGCCUUGGCUCUGCUGCAGUGGUUCACGUUGUGUAUACCUGAGCCUUUCCCUCAGAAGAGGGGUGAUGAUACUCAUCAAAUCAGUGGCCAACAGCUGUGGUACUCUAAAAAAGGGGUUGGGGACCAACCCCUGACGUCCACAAUGACCAAAAAAGGCGGUCAUUGUGGAUGUCAAAGUCCAUCAGAGAAAUUCCACUAGGGCAGAAUCUCCACGUCACACUUACAUUCAGGCAGUGCCUCAAAUUGAACCAAUGUUCAAAAACCUCCAAAUCUUUGCUCAGGUUAUAUCAUGAAGUUGAUUGAAGUCUUUGAGGUCUGUUUGUGUCUGCAGCUUACCAUGUGAAAGGGCCUGGGAUUGACCCACACUCCACAAAACAAGCAAACAAAAAAGAAUCUCAACAACUCAACCAUAAAAAAAGUUGACUCUAUUCAGAACUGGGCAAAGGCUCUCUACAGCCAGUUCACUGAGGAGAUUCACAAAUAGCCAAUAAGCCCAUGAAGAGAUACUCAAUAUCAGCAGUCAUUAGGGAAAUGAAAACAAAAGCACAAUAAGACUCCACUUUGUACCCAUGAAGAUGGUCACUGUUCAGAAAAAAAAGAAUGCAGAAUGAACAUGCUCAUAAAUAGGUAGAAAACAGCACCACAGGUGCAUUGCUUGCCUAUAUAUGUAAUGGUGCAGCUGCUAUGAAAAUUUUUUGGUGAUUCCUCCAAAUGCUCAAGAGAUACUUUCUAAAUGACCCAGUAAUUGUAUUUCUGGGCAUAAAUACAAAAGCAGUGAAGGCAGGUAAGUGCAGAGACAUUUGUACACCCACAUUUAUAACAGAAUUGUUCCCAAAAUCCAAAAAGUAGAAGUAACCCAACUAUCUAUCAACUGAUGAACUUCUAAUCAAAAUACAGCUUAUAUACAAAGUGAAUAUUAUUCAGACUUAAAAAGGAAGGGCAUUCUGACAAUUGCUACACUAUGUGUGACCUGGAGGACAUGAUGCUAAGUGGAAAAGCCAGUCAUGAAAGGACAAAUUCUGUCCAAGUGCACUUGUAUGAGGCAUUUAGGGAGUCAAAUUUGUAGAGACAGAAUGUACAAAGCCAGCACAAAGAUGACAGGGACUGGGGUGGGGAGGAUGGAUGCUUACUGUUUAAUGGGUACAGGGUUUCAGUUUCCAUAAACGUGUGAACACACUGAAUGCCACUGAAUUAUAUACUUAAAAUGGUUAAAAUAGAAAACUGUACAUUAUAUCUAUUUUACCACAAUUAAACACCAAACAGAAAUCAGGGCAGUGUACUACAGAUUAAUGCAGAAUCAGAAAGAAGGAAAUGGAGGCCUGAGAAGAGAGAAUCAAGGAAGAUGGACAAGUUGCACAACCAGGGGGAGGCCCUUCAGACUGGGAGAGGGUGGUGGGAGCUGGAUAUACCCCCAAAGAGCAUCAGAUUAGAAAACCAUCACAGGGGGAUGAGGGUGGUGCUCAGUAGUGAAGUGCAUAGUUGAGUCCAAGUUCAACGCCCACCACAAACACAUAAAUGAACAAACAAACAAACAAACAAAAACAUCAAGGAGAAAAGUAGUUCUGGGAGAGGCCAUAGUCGGGGAACACCAGGACCAACCAAGUAGCAAAACACAAAUUUUGGAUUCAUGGUGGAGGGAGCAAAAGUCCUCUGAGGACUAGGAACCAAAAAGGAGGCGGAAGGUCAAGGAGCAAAAGGACCAAGAGCCUUUUUAUGGUAUAGAUGGGGAAGUGGGAUGGGAAGGGCAAGUGAGAUUAGUGGCUUGUGGGUUGGAGGAGAACGUGGCAUAUAGGUGACCCUGGGAGAACUUGGGUUAGGAUGAGGACAGUAGUGUUGCUCUGGAUGAAGGCAAAUGAGCUGUAGUGGUUGCAAAGUUCCCACCAGAGCGGACUUGUGACACAUGAAAGUUGGUGAGGGCUCAAAACAGGUAGGCAGGGGAUGGGUGCUGAAAAAGGCCCCACAGCACAGAGGUGCAGAAGGACCAGGGAGAGAUAGAAUCCAGCACUUGCAGGCUGGAGAAUGGAGGCCUCAAAAUGGUGAGGGUUCAGAUGAAGAAGUGGUCAAGGCAUAAUCAAGAGGGAGAUGUCUGCACUGGAGGAAGAAGGAGGAUACGGUCUUGAGAAUAGCAGGGAGGUCAAGGUGCUCUGCAUUGUGCUGAUAGUCAAUGAUUGUCAGCACCAAGACUCUGGCUUGUGAGAGCUUGGAGAAGUGAGGAUGAAGGGGAGACCCAAAGACAGAAGGCUUUACCAGAAAUUUAGGGUCAUCAGGCUGGGAGUGGAGCUCAGUGGCAGAGCACUUGCCAGAGCACUUGAGGUCAUGGGUUUUAUCCCCAGCACCACAAAAAAAAAAAAAAAGAAAGAAAGAAAAGAAAAGAAAGAAAAAGAAAAAGAAAUAGGAAAGAGCAAAACCAGUUAGGGUUAUCAUAAUUCUAAUUUCAUUCUACACAGAAAUGGCAAAAACUUCUAGAAUUCAUAUGGAACCAUAAAAGACCCUGUUAUGGUUUUAGAGAGGAAAUGUCCCCCAAAAGCUCACGUGUGAGAGAGUGCAAGAAAGUUUAGGGGUAAAAUGAUUGAGUUGUGAGAGUCUUAAUCUAACCUGCACAUUAACCUUCUGAGAGGGAUUAACAAGGUGGUAACUGUAGGCAGGUAGGGUAUGGCUGGAGGAGGUGGGUCACUGGGAAGAUAUUUUGUCCUUGUUGAGUGGAGCUCACUCUCUCUGCUUUCUGGUGCCAUGUUCUGAGCUGCUUUCCACUAUCUCACUCUUCUGCCAUGAUGUUCUGCCUUACCUCAAGCCCUGAGGAAUGGAGUCAGCCAGAGCACUUGAGGUCUAUUCUACAGAAGAGAGACCUCUAAAACGGGGAGCCUCAAAAUAAACCUUUCCUCUUCUAAAAUUGUUCUGGUCAGGUCUUUUGUUCAUAGCUGAAAAAAGGUGACUAAACAAAUCUCCCCAAAUCAAAUCAAUAUUGACCAAAAAGGACAAUGCUGGGAAUAUGACAAUACUAGAUUUCAAAACAGAUAACAAAACUACAGCAAAUAAAGCAGCAUGGUACUGGCAUGAAAGCAAACAUGAUGACCAAUGGAAAAGAACCCAGAUGUAAACACACACGUAUAUAGUGCAUGUAUUUUUGACAAAGGUGCUAAGUAUACAAUAUGGGAAAUGGGUAUCUCAAUAAAAUUUGUUUUCUCAAAUUUCUGUUGCGAAAACAAGAUUGUCACAAACAUAAGAAACAGAAACAUAAUGGACCCUUAUGCCAGCCCUUAUAUAAGAAUCAAACUCAAAAUGCAUUAAAAAUUUAAAUGUAAGACCUGAAGCAGGGUGUAGUACAGCAGGCCAGUAGUUACAGUUAUGUGAGAGGUUGAGGCAGAAUGAGCACAUGGUAUAAGACCAGCCUGGGCAAAAGAGCAAGAACACUUACAAUUAAAAGGAGAGAGAAAAAAAAAAGGUCCCACUUGAAACUAUAAAAAUGCCAGAAGAAAACACAGGAGCAAUGACAUUGAUCUGGACAGAAUUUUCUAGGUAUGAUCCCAAAAGCAUAGGCAACCAAAGCAAAAAUAGACAAAUAGAAUACCAUUCAACUAAAAUACUUUUGCCCAGAAAAGAAAAGAAGAAGAGAGUGAAAAGACAACUCAUACAUUGGGAGAGUAUUUACAAAUCAUACAUCAGAUAAGGGGUUACUGUCCAAAAUAUAUGAGUAACUCAAACUUCCCAAUAACAAAGCAAGUAACCCAACUUAAAAAUGGCCAAAGAGGAGAGAGUCAAGAUGGUACAUUAGCAGAUGUCUGCAUUUCCCGUUGCUCUGUGGAUCAGGAUUCAAGUAGUAAGAGUACUGCUUCUCAGUAUGGUGAAUGAAAGAGGAAAUUCAGUGAAAUUAAAUAUCAGUCAGUGGCUUGUAGAGACUCAGAAAUUCAGGUGCAUGAACAGAAAGUAGAAAUACACUGGAAGGAAGCUUGUUGUGACAGUGGCACUGGUUCACCACAGGGGAAAGGGAAAAUGCAUCAGAGGAAAAAACAUCUUUGACACAGAAAAAUAUGGAGAUCAGAAAAGCAGUAUGUAUUUAACUGAUCCAGAGGCUGCACAGUGAACAGGUGUGUGAAGAGUUCUCUGCUUCUCAACUGCCAAGCAGACAGUUGAGGUGGGAACCAUUUUGAGGAGGUCAUGCUGCAGCUUGUUGCUGCCAGAGCCGAGGAAAUCCUAACAAAUAUCACCAUAUUGACUCAAAAAGCACCCAUAGUGUGGCCUAGGUUGUACCUAGAACAAUGAGUGAAACAGGCAUAGAGAAUACUGUACCCAGGGGAUGCAAGUCAGAAAUACAGAGAGAACUGCAACUCAUUUCCCUUUGGGUCUGGUAGCUCAACAGACCAGCUGAAGAGGGUUGGGAAUGUGAACAGGAGGGCAUGAGCACACUCAGGGACUGACCUUGGGAAGGCCAUAUUUGUGGGCAGCUGAGUUUGUGAUACCUGUGUAGGGUUGGCUCCCCUGUCCGACAAGUAGAGUUCUUGGAAGGCUCCAGAGAUCCAGAUUCCCAGCAGAGAUCCGCAUCUGCCUGGACAUAGAGUUGUUGAUCUAAUCUCUCCAGAGCAGAUACUAUCCAACCAAGUUCCUGAACAGACCCAAGCCACAGCCACCAGAUCUCUCCUCUUAGAGCUCUGUAGCAGGCUCACCCUGGGAGUGCAUCAAUCUGGUCUUUGAGAGAAAACUCCAAGCAACAGUCCUUCCCAUUCCAUCACCCCUUACACUGGUAUGAAGCUGAGAGCUAUUUCAACCAGCUUCAGUUUUAGACCACUCCUGCUGGCAACUUUGAGAACAAUAGAAAAAGAGGAAUGGGUUAACAAUUCCCAGUGCUGGGUCUCUGUCUCUUAAUAAAGCCCAAGAAGAAAUGGAAAGAAUGACACUUGGACAAAAUCAGUGACCAUCCAUACUCAUCAACUGUUUUGACCACCUCAGUGGAGAAAAUUCUUUCCGUUUUCAUUAAGAACUAUCUUUUUUGGAGGGGUUGGUCUCACUGUGCUGAUUAUUUUGUAAAUGUAUCUACCCAUAUGUAUUUGUUUCCUUUUUCUUAUUUUUACCAUUUUUUCAACACUACUUAUUUUCCCUUGUCUUGAGGGUUAAGGUUUUAUUAUUUUGGUUUUAUUUUGUUUUUGUUUCUUUUUUUCUUCAUUUCCCUUUUUCUCCUCUCUUUUCCCACAUACAGCCAAAUUCUCUUGUUCUUUUUCUCUGUUCCUUUACUUUUUUUCUAAUUUAUUUUUUCCUUAUUCUUCUUUACAGCCAACACUGGCUACAUCUCUUUUAAAUACUCUCUGUUCACAUUUUGAAUAUUCUAAACUUUCCCUUUACUAUCCUAUCACAUUUUCUUCUCCCUUACUGAACAGUAUUUUCUUGGAAUGCCUAAUUUAUAUAACUCCUGCUCACACCGUUCAUUUUAUUGCAUUUAUUAGUACCGUGGAUGGCAUAGGUGACACCUAUUGUUGAUUUUAAUGCCAGAUCUAGUUGAUUGCUAUUUAUGUUUUUGCUGUUGGCAAUUGUUGACCCUACUAUUCCCGUUUUUGUGGUGAUUAGUGUUGUAGAUGUCACAAGAGGCACCAGGUAUUGAUUUUAAUGCUGUAUCUUAUUUGUUUCAGUUGUUGACAUUUUUGGUUUCCCUUUUUCUGUGAGGUGCUGGGAAUCUACAGGGACACUACUGUUCACAGGGUAGACACUCUGCCACUGAAAUAAACCCAGCCAAGACAGCACAACUUGGUAUACACACACAAAUUAAUCACAAACUUCAUCAAUAUUUAGUAUAAAAAAUAGAAAGAAAAAAAGUAUACCUAAACACCAAUGCCAUGUGGGAAUGGCUAGGGGACCCCUUGGGUAUCACUCCUGGACAUCCACUUCAAUAGCAAAAAGAAAAAGAAUGAUCACAAAGGCUGUGGUUACAACACUGCUGAGGGUUCUCAACCUAGAGUUCUCUAGGUCACUGUGGUAGGAGAAGUCCAUGCCUUAAAAGGACCACACAUAAAAGUGAAAGAGAAAUCCAUCCCCCAAAUGCAUCAAACCCAACACAGGAAUAUAAGAAGUAUGAAAAACAAGCUAACACACUUAGUUCCCUAAAGUUCACAAUUCAUCANGUUCCUGAACAGACCCAAGCCACAGCCACCAGAUCUCUCCUCUUAGAGCUCUGUAGCAGGCUCACCCUGGGAGUGCAUCAAUCUGGUCUUUGAGAGAAAACUCCAAGCAACAGUCCUUCCCAUUCCAUCACCCCUUACACUGGUAUGAAGCUGAGAGCUAUUUCAACCAGCUUCAGUUUUAGACCACUCCUGCUGGCAACUUUGAGAACAAUAGAAAAAGAGGAAUGGGUUAACAAUUCCCAGUGCUGGGUCUCUGUCUCUUAAUAAAGCCCAAGAAGAAAUGGAAAGAAUGACACUUGGACAAAAUCAGUGACCAUCCAUACUCAUCAACUGUUUUGACCACCUCAGUGGAGAAAAUUCUUUCCGUUUUCAUUAAGAACUAUCUUUUUUGGAGGGGUUGGUCUCACUGUGCUGAUUAUUUUGUAAAUGUAUCUACCCAUAUGUAUUUGUUUCCUUUUUCUUAUUUUUACCAUUUUUUCAACACUACUUAUUUUCCCUUGUCUUGAGGGUUAAGGUUUUAUUAUUUUGGUUUUAUUUUGUUUUUGUUUCUUUUUUUCUUCAUUUCCCUUUUUCUCCUCUCUUUUCCCACAUACAGCCAAAUUCUCUUGUUCUUUUUCUCUGUUCCUUUACUUUUUUUCUAAUUUAUUUUUUCCUUAUUCUUCUUUACAGCCAACACUGGCUACAUCUCUUUUAAAUACUCUCUGUUCACAUUUUGAAUAUUCUAAACUUUCCCUUUACUAUCCUAUCACAUUUUCUUCUCCCUUACUGAACAGUAUUUUCUUGGAAUGCCUAAUUUAUAUAACUCCUGCUCACACCGUUCAUUUUAUUGCAUUUAUUAGUACCGUGGAUGGCAUAGGUGACACCUAUUGUUGAUUUUAAUGCCAGAUCUAGUUGAUUGCUAUUUAUGUUUUUGCUGUUGGCAAUUGUUGACCCUACUAUUCCCGUUUUUGUGGUGAUUAGUGUUGUAGAUGUCACAAGAGGCACCAGGUAUUGAUUUUAAUGCUGUAUCUUAUUUGUUUCAGUUGUUGACAUUUUUGGUUUCCCUUUUUCUGUGAGGUGCUGGGAAUCUACAGGGACACUACUGUUCACAGGGUAGACACUCUGCCACUGAAAUAAACCCAGCCAAGACAGCACAACUUGGUAUACACACACAAAUUAAUCACAAACUUCAUCAAUAUUUAGUAUAAAAAAUAGAAAGAAAAAAAGUAUACCUAAACACCAAUGCCAUGUGGGAAUGGCUAGGGGACCCCUUGGGUAUCACUCCUGGACAUCCACUUCAAUAGCAAAAAGAAAAAGAAUGAUCACAAAGGCUGUGGUUACAACACUGCUGAGGGUUCUCAACCUAGAGUUCUCUAGGUCACUGUGGUAGGAGAAGUCCAUGCCUUAAAAGGACCACACAUAAAAGUGAAAGAGAAAUCCAUCCCCCAAAUGCAUCAAACCCAACACAGGAAUACAAGAAGUAUGAAAAACAAGCUAACACACUUAGUUCCCUAAAGUUCACAAUUCAUCAGAAAAUGACUCUAAAGAUAUUUAAGUGGAUGACAUACCAGAUUAAGGAUUCAAAGGAAUGACUAUAAAAAUAAUGAAUCUCAAGACAACACAGGAAAACAACUGAAUGAACUAAGAAAGUCAGUGAUGCGUACAAAGGAGAAAUUCAAUAAAGAGAUAGAGAUAUUGAAAAAGAAACAGAAAUAUUGGAAAUGAAGACAAAUUGAGUCAAAUAAAAUCUUAAGUUGAAAGUUUCUUUAGUAGAGAAGACCAUGCUGAAGACAGGAUCUCAGAGCUCGAGGUCAAAGUGGCAGGCUUUGAACAUUCAGACAAUAUUACAGAGAAUAAGUAAUGUGGCCAGAAUAUAUAAGAACUCUGGGACAAGACUGAGAGACCAAAUUUAAGAAUCCUUGGAAUUUAAGAGGGUUAUGAAAGACAGACUAAUUGCAUAAAUAACCUCUUCAGGGAAAUAAUAGAAAAUUUUCCAAAACUUGAGAAAGAGAAGGAUGUCCAAUACAGGAGGCAUUGAGAACCCCAAACAGACAACAUCAAAAAGGAACCUCUACAGAACACAUUAUAAUUAAAAUGCCUAACAUACAGAGCAAGGAUAAAAUGCUAAAAUCCUCUGAGAAAAAUGCCCCAUUAAAUGUCACAUUUAAAGGCAAGUCUAUCAGAAUUACAUCUGAUUUCUCAGCACAAACUCUAAAGUUGAGGAGGCUUUGAAUGAUGAGCUCCAAGCCCUGAAAGAAAAUAACUGUCGGCCAGGAUGCCUAUAUACAGCAAAGCUCUCCUUCAGAAUCUAAUUGGAAAGAAAAACUUUACAAGAUCAGCAGAGACAAAAAGAAUUCAUGAGUACUGAGCUGGUGAUAUAGAAAAUAUUUAAGCACAUAAUUCACACAGAAGAAAUUUUUUAAAAAGAGUUCACAAAUGGGCAAGUCUCAUUUGAAGUGGCACUACACAAAUGAGAAACAGGACAAAUUAAAUAUUAGAAAUAAAUCAAAAUGGCUGGAAAUAAUAGACAUCUCUCUGUAAUAACAUCAAAUGUGAAUGGUCUCACCUCUCCAAUUAGAAAACAUAAGCUGUCAGAAUGGACUAAAAAACAAGGCCCAACUAGAUGCUGUUGGUAAGAGGCUCACCUGACAGGCAAAGACAGCCACAAGCUGAAAGUGAAAGGAUGGAAAAUUAAAUAUUGUGCAAAUGGAGCCCCCACCCCCCAAAGCAUGAGUUUACAUUGUCACACCCAACAAAGCAGACUUCAAGCCAAAAUUAAUCAGGAGAGACAAAGGUCACUUCAAAAUGGUAAAGAGAAAAUCCAACAAGAAUAUAACUAUAAUUAAUAGUUAAAACCCAAAAGGUGGUGCAGCUAAUUAUAUAAAUCAGUUACUACUUACAUAAAUACUCAGAUAGACCAUACUAGUUGAUUUCAAUAUACCUCCCUCAUCAGUGGAUAGGUCAUCCAGGAAUAAAUUCAGUAAAGACUUUUUUAUUGAAAAAAAAGUAUAAAUCAAAUAUUCUUAACAGAUUCUAGAGAAUAUUUCAUCCAACUUCAGCCAAAUACACUUUCUUCUAAGAUGCUUAUGGACCUUUCCCACAAACAGAUCAUAUAUGAGGCCACAAAACAACCCACACCAAAUUAAAAAAACUUGAUAUAAUUCCUUGCAUAAUGAAAUGAAAUUAGCAAUCAACACCAAAAAAGACAUUCAGAACCUAUAAAAACAUGUGGAGAUUGAACAUUACACUUUUGAAUGAUGAUGAGUAAUAGAAGAGAGAAAUUUAAAAAUUCUUAGAGUCAAACAAGAAUAGUGAUACAACAUACCAAAACCUUGGCAACACUAUGAACUCAUUCUAAGAGACAAGUUUAAAACUAUAAAUGCUUAUAUUAGAGAAUCAGAAAGAUACCAGAUAAAUAAUCAAAGGAUGCAUCUCAAGACCAUUGAAAAACAAAAACAAAUCAAUUCCAAUGGUCAGUAUAAGGGAAUAAAUAAUUAAAAUCAGAGGUGAAAUUGAUGAAAUAGAGAAUACAAAAACAAUAAAAAGGAUCAAUGACAUGAAGAGUUGGUCUUUGAAAAGAUAAACAAGAUUGAUAAGCCCUUAGCCAAACAACCAAAAGAAAAAGAUAGAAGACCUAAAUUAAUCAAACUUGAAAUGAAAAAGGAGAAAUGACUACAAAUAUGACAGAAAUCCAGAGGAUUAUUAGGGAGUACAUUUGAAAACUUAUACUCCAAUACAUUGGAAAACCUAGAAGAAAUGGAUACAUUUCUAGGCACCUGCCAAAAUCAAAUCAAGAAGACAUAGAAAACUCACACAGAUCAAUAACUAACAAUGAGAUAGAAGUAGUAAUAAAAAAAAAAAAACACCUGGGGGCUGGGGUUGUAGCUCAGUGGUAGAGCACUUGUCUUGCAAGUGUGAGGCACUGGGUUCCAUCUCAGCACCACAUAAAAAUAAAUAAAUAGGGGCUGGGGCUGCGGCUCAGAGGUAGAGCACUCACCUAGCAUGUGGAAGGCCCUGGGUUCCAUCCUCAGCAUCACAUAAAAAAAAAUAAAUAAGUAAAUAAAAAUAAAUGUAUUGUGUCCAUCUACAACUAAAAAAAUGUCUUAAAAAAACCCCACCUGUAAUGGUUUAGAUAUGAGGUUUCACCAAAAGCUCAUAUGUGAGACAAUGCAAUGAUUUUCAGAGGUGAAGUGACUAUGAGCUAAGCAGUGGAUCAAUCCAGAGGUAACUGUAGGCAGGUAGGUUUUGGCUACCUGAUUUAGGGCACGGGGGAUGUACCUUAGGUACUUACAUUGUAUAAAUGAAUCUCUCUCUGUUUCUCUCUCACACAACCCCACCUCUGGUGUGCUCUCACUACCUUGCUCUCUUGCUCUCUCACUCUAGCUCUCUUGCUCUCACUCUUACUCUAGCUCUCUUGCUCUCACUCUCUGGCUCUCACUUUCACUCUCACUCUCACUAUCAUUCCACUUCCUGGUUGCUAUGAAGCCACCUGUGAAUUACAUGAGGGUCUUCACUAGGAAUGGAAGCCAAGGAAAUUUAGGUUUAACUUUGGGAAAUAUUUGUGGCUCCUCCCAUUCAGUAGAUUGCCCAAGACACAGAAUCUUAUCUCUGCUCUACUAGGGAGAGCCCUCACAGUAACUCUGGAGAUGGGCAUUACCUGUUGGGAACUGAACAGCCCCCUUGUACCUUUUUCAGCAAGGAACACUCCAUGGAAAACCUUUGAUGUUCCCCGAUAUAUAAAUAAAGCAAGCACUGGCUCCAUUUUGCUUUUUUCUUAGUGUGGAAGCAGCUAGCCUGUCCUGACCCCCCUCCUCCUGCUUAAAAAUAUAUAUAUUUCCUGUGUUCUGUGGUGUUUUCCCUUGCUCUAUUUUUCUUACCCUUUUUUCUGCACCUAGCCCAUUCCACCUAGAGGAACCCCAUUUCCACCCCCACCCCCAACCCCACGCAGGUCGUGGGUGGGGUUCCUCCAUGCCCUUCCACCAUGAAGUUCUGCCACAUCUAGGUCCCAUAACAAUGGAGUGGGUCAUCUAUGGACUGAGAUCUCUAAAAUAAUGAGUAACAAAUAAACUUUUCCUCCUCUAAAAUUGUUCUUGUUAGAACUUUUGGUCACAGUAACAAAAAGGCCAACUAAAACAUCAUCCAACAGAAAAAAAACCCAGGAACACAAUGAUUCUAAGCUGAAUUCUACCAGAAUUUUAAAGGCUUACUCAUGCCAACUCUCCUCAAAUAAUUCCAAAAUUGGAAUGGGAAUAAACACUUCAAACCCAUACUAUGAAGCCAGUGUCAUCAUCAGACCAAAGCCAGUAUCACUACAGAUCAAUAUCUCCGAUUAAUAUUAAUAUCUCUGAUUAACUUAGAUGAAAAAUUCUUAAUAAAAUAUUAGCAAAAGGGAGGGGGUAGGGGAUUAGCAAGGUGGUGGGAUGUGAUGGACAUCAUUAUACAAAGUACAUGUAUGAAGAAUUGAAUUGGGAAUAAACAUACUUUAUAUACAGAGAUACAAAAAUUGUGGUAAAUAUGUGUAUUAAGAAUUGUAAGGCAAAACAACAACAACAACAAAAGAAUAGUGUUACCUUAGAUUAGGUAGAGGGAAGUGAAAGGAGGGGAAGGCAGGGGAUGUGGGGAUAAGAAAGAUAGUAGAAUGAAACAGACAUUAUUACUGUAUGUAUGCAUGUGACUGUAUGACCAAUGUGAUUCUACAAUAUGUAUACUCAGAAAAAUGAGAAAUUAUAUCCCAUCUAUAUAUGAUACAUCAAAGUACAUAAGUGCAUUCUACUGUCAUGUAUAACUAAUUAAAAAAAAUCAAUACCAAAAAAUAAAAUAUUAGCAAAUUGUAUUCAAUAACAUAUUAAGAUGAUUGUAUAUCAUGACUAAGAAGGAUUUAUCCAAAUGAUGCAAAGAUGGUUUAACAUUCACAAAUCAAAACAUGCAAUAUACUACAUAAAUAGAAUUAAGGAGAAAAAUCACAUACUCAUCUCAAUAGAUGCAGAGAAAGCCUUCAAUGAAAUUUGGCACCCAUUCAUGAUAAAGACACCAAGGAAACUAGGCAUAGAAAGAACUUACCUCAUCAUAAGGGCUAUGAUCAACAAACGCAAAGCCAACAUCAUAGUGAAUGGGAAAAACUGAAAACAUUUCCUUGAAGAUCUGGAAAAAGAAAAGGAUGUCUACACUCAUCACUCCUACUCAAUAUAUUACUAGAAAUUCUAUAGAUCAAAUAGACAAGAGAGAAAAUCAAAGGGAUAAAAAUAGGAAAAGAAGAAGUUGAAUUUUCAAUGAUUGCAAAUGAAAAAUUCUAUACUUAGAAGAUCCAAAAAUCUCCCCAGGAGACUUCUAGAACCAAUAAACAACUUCAGCAAAGUCGCAGGUUACAAAAAUCAACAUAUAAAAAUCAAUAUUUUCCUAUACACCAAUAAUGAAUCUCCUGAGAAAGAAAUUAGAAAAACAAUCCCAUUCAUAAUAGCCUCAAUAAAGAAAGUACCUAGGAAUAAAUCAAACCAAGGAGGUAAAAGACCUCCACUAUGUAAACUAUAGAACAGUGAAGAAAGAAAUUGAAGAAGACACAAGAAUAGGAGAGAUGUCCUAUGUUCAAAGAUACGCAGAAUGAAUAUUGCUAAAUGAACAUAAAACCAAAAGCAAUAUACAGAUUCGAUACAAUCCCCAUCAAAAUAUCAAUGACAUUUUUUUUAAGAAUUAGAGAAAACAGUUUUACUGUGCAGUUGGAAGAAUGAAAGACCCAGAAAAGCCAAAGCAGUUCUAAGCCUAAAAAGAAAUGCUGUUCUAAGCCUAAAAAAUCACAGCACCUGACUUCAAAUUAUACUACAUAGCAAUAGUAACAAAAAAUGCAUGGUACUUGGAUACUUGGUAUAAACACACACACACACACACACACACACACACACACACCAAACAGAUACAGUCAUCUGAUCCUUGAUAAAGCAUGCAGUGGAGAAAAAAAUGCCUUUUAAACCAUUGUGUUGGAAAACAGGCUAUGCAUAUGUGGAAGAAUAAGGUGUGAUUUUUAUUUCUCACCUUGCACAAGUCAACUCAAAAUGAUCAAAGUCCUAGGAAUUAGGCCAUCAAUUAUGCAAGUCCUAAAAGAAAAAUGAGGUUCAACACCUAACAUACAGGUACAGGCAAUGACUUUCUCAAUAGGUACCUGAAAGCUCAGAAAAUGAUGCCUACUCUUCUGACAGAGGAUUCAUAUCUGGAAUAUAUAAAGAACUCAAAAAACUCAACACCAUAAAAAAUAAUCCAAAUAAUAAAUGUGCAAAUCACCUAAACAAGACACUUCUCAAAAGAAACACAAAUGGUCAACAAAUACAUGAAAAUAUCAUUAGCAAUUAGGGAAAAGUAAAUCAAAACUACACUGAGAUUUCAUCCCACUCCAGUUUGAAUGGCAGCCAUCAUGAAUACAAACAAUAAUAAAUGCUGGAGAAGAUGUGGAGAAAGAACAACACUGUUGGUAGGAUUGUAAAUUAGUACAACUACUAAGGAAAUUAGUAGAGAGGUCCCUCAAGACUCAGAAUGGAACCACCACCCAGUUGUACCACUCCUCAGUAUUAAGUCUAAAAAAUUAAAAUCAUCAUACAACAGUGAUACACACACAUUCAUGUUUAUAGCAGCAUGAUUCAAAAUAGUCAAAGUAUGGUACCAGCCUAGAUUUCCAUCAAUGGAUGAAAAAAGAGAAUAUGGAAUGUAUAAAGGAUGGAGUUUGACAUAGCCAUAAGGAAGAAUGAAAAUUUUCCAUUUUCAGGAAAAUGGAUUGAAUUUGUCAACAUUAUGUUAAGUGAAAUAAGCCAGAGUCAGAAAGUCAAGGGUCACAUGUUUUCUCUCUUUGUGGAAGAUAGAGAGGAAAAACCAAAGAAAGGAGGGGAGGGUCUCAUGAGAAUCAAAGGAAGAUAACUAGAGUAGAGGAAAGAAACCAGGGGAGGGAGGAGGAGAUGGAAAGUGUAAAUCCUGGGGAAUGACAUUAGACAAUUACUUUGUUAUAUUGUGUACACAUUUGAAUACAUAACAACAAAUUCCACCAUAUGUACAACUAUCGUGCACCAAUAAAAAAUAUAGAAAACAAAAAAUGGAGAAGGAGCCAGGCCCUAUGGUGCAUGCCUGCUACCUGGAGGCUGAGGCAGGAGCAUUCCUUUGAGCCAAGAAGUUUUAGUCCAGCCUGGAAAACAUAGCAGACUCACCUCCAAAAUAAAACAAAACAAAAGAACACACAACUGUGGCAAAUACAGACAAAGAAUACUAAUCGGUUUUAAGAACAAUAACAAAAAAGGUAAUUAGGGCUGAGGAUGAAGCUCCUCAGGGAUAGAGGGAUUGCCCAGCAGACACCAGACCUUGAGAUCAAUCCCUAGUAUAUUUACAUAAAAAAACCCUGCAAAACAGGAAAUUGUGUCAUUUUUGACAUAAUUUGGCCUUCUCCUGCACGUCCAUGUUCCCCUUUUUUGACAUCACCCACAUCUGGUGUCUGUGAUGGCACUGAAGCAUCAGCUGGUAGGAUUGGAAGGGGCAUGGAAGAAUCCUGAUUCAAGCUGGUCUACUGCUAUGCUCCCUGAUUUGGUGGAGGAAUUUUAACAUGUGUACUGCUUGAAGAGCCUCCACUGAGGUUUCUUGCCAACCACAUUAAUAUUUUACUGGCAUCUUCAAUCUGGUAUAUUAUAUAUAUUUUUUUGCCCAUGGGACCUAAUUUCCUAGGGCUAUUCAUUCUUAACCCGCUCAACUUCUGGCUGUGGAGAUGAAAGAAGUGACCAGAACUUGGAAAAUAGAAGGUGGAGUCACACAUGCUAAUAGCUAUCACAAAAAUGGCUGGCCAGUCAUGAUAGCUAUUGGAUGGGCCCAAGGUGCGGCUGGUAUCACUAUCAUGAAUUUUGAACAGUUGGUAAAGGAGAUUGGAAACCAGAGAUGAUGAAUGGCUGAAGAUGUCCUAUCUUUCCAAGGUAACCUUGCUGGGGUCCCUUCACAUUUCAGCGCACCAAGCAUCUGAACACAUCAAAGCAUAAUCUUAUGUUCCUUUAUACCAUCUUUCUUGUGGCCAAAAAGAUAACCAUCAUGGUUACACAGACUUCUUCUAUGACUCUUAGUCCUUUUAAGGAUAUAUUGAGUUGGCUGCUCUUUGGCAGCAAUAGUUUUCAUUGUAUAAAAAGAAAUGUGGAACAAAAUUAUCUUCUAAUGGCACUAGUUCAUUGGUCUUAAAACCUAUGACUGACGGUUCAGAUAAUGUUAAAAGGAAACUUACUAAGAACACUGAGUAAAUUUACUUGAGCUCUAGAAGGCAAAAAAAAAAAAAUUUUUCUCUUCUACCUAUCAGAUUGUGAUAAAUAUUUGUAUGCAGAUAUUGUGAAAUAAAGAUUAUAUAUAAGGAAUGGAGGUGACAAAAAGAAAUAAAUUCUAUAUUAGGGUGACUACCACUUUCUUGAUUUUAAUUCUUGAGUGUCAUGAGUAUAUCAUGUGAAUUUUUUUAUGAUAUAAAGUAUCUCUUGUGAUUACUUAAAUAUUUUACAUUCAUAAAAGAAAUUAUCAAUAUUUUAAAGAUUGGAUAUUUUCAUACAUUUAAAAAUAUGAAUCUAUUUGAGCUUUAGUUCAGCAGAAUUAAACUUUUGUUUUACAUUGCCAUCAUAAUUCUUAGGUAUGAAAAAUUAAUUGAUUAAAAAAUUAAAAUUCCUCUUUAAUUUUGAGUAUUGAAGACUGUAAACUUUUCCUAAAAUACUUUAUAAGUGAAAAUAAAUUGCUAGUAUAUUACAAUGUAAUUUGUAAAUAAAUUGCUAGUUUAUUACAAUGUCAACAUUGUAAUUUUGCCCACAUUAAAUGGAAAGUACCUGAAAUUUAACUUAAUUUUAUCUCUAAUAGUAUUUUUCAGUAAAAACACAAUAUUGUUAGUAUAGUUAGCAUGAGUUUGAAGUCUGUUUCAUGCCCUUGUUUCAUUUUUUUAUUAGUUACACAUGACAGUUCAAUGAUCUUGACAUAUCAUACAUUUGAUUCAAAUGGGGUAUAAUUUCUCAUUUUUCUGAGUGUACAGGUUGCAGAAUCACAUUGGUUAUACAAUCACAUAUAAUGCAGCAAUAUUAGUGUCUAUUUUAUUCUGCUGCCCUUCCUAUACCUCUUCCCGUCCCCUCCCCUCCCAUCACUUCUCUCUACCCAAUCUAAUGUGACACACUUCUUCCCCCCCCUCACAUCAUCAUACAUGUAUUUUGUAUAACAAUGAGGGUCUCCUUCCAUCCUCCAUGCAAUUCCCCUUCUCCCUCCCUUUCCCUCCCACCUCUCUUCCCUAUUUAGUGGUAAUCUUCUUUUCAUGCUCUUCUCCCUAUCCCAUUUUGAGUCACCGCCCCCCUUAUAUUAGAGAAGACAUUCAGCAUUUGUUUUUUAGGUAUUGGCUAACUUCACUUAGCAUAAUCUGCUCUAAUGCCAUCCAUUUCCCUGAAAAUGCCAUGAUCUUGUUAUUUUUUAGUGCUGAGUAAUAUUCCAUUGUGUAUAAAUGCCACAUUUUUUUUAUCCAGUCAUCUAUUGAAGGGCAUCUAAGUUGGUACCAUAGUCUGCCAUAAACAUUGAUGUAGCUAAGUCCCUGUAGUAUGCUCUUUUUAGGUCUUUUGGGUAUAGUCCGAGAAGGGGAAUAGCUGGGCCAAAUGGUGGUUCCAUUCCCAGCUUUCCAAGGAAUCUCCAUACUACUUUCCAAAUUGGCUGCACCAAUUUGCAGUUCCACCAGCAAUGUAUGAGUGUACCUUUUUCCCCCGCAUCCUCGCCAACACUUGUUGUUGUUUGACUUCAUAAUGGCUGCCAUUCUUACUGGAGUGAGAUGAAAUCUAACCCUAACCCUCAAAAGAAAAUCAGGGGUGUGAUUGUUUUAUAAAUUACUAAUUCCAUGUUCGAUAAUUUUCAGUGUUCCAAAAUUACAAAAUAUGCUUGUUUUUUUGUUCCCCUCUUUCUCUCUCUUUAGAAUGUAAUAAACUAGCAAUUUAUUUCUUUAAACACAUUUAUUUCAACUGGAGAUAAAACUUACACAUUUCACAUGUUUUCUCUGACUUUGGUUGUUCUGAAUACAUUCCUAGCAGUUGUCUUAAUGAUUAAAAAAAUAUUAUCUCCAUUUACUUUUUUUCUUCUAUGUCUCCUUUCUAGUGGCAACUUUCUUAGUUUUUUGUUUGAAUAUCCCAUGUUAGAUUACAAAUGGUUAUGUUUAGUUUUAAUUUACAUGCACAUGUAUUAUUAAUUUUAAAUGAAAACUGAUUAGCUUCAAGUGAAAAUGCUCAGCUCUGAUGAGAACUAUCCAUGUACAAUUGAUAGUAAUCAGCUAAGAAACAGAUCAACAGAAAUCUCAUUGACUGAAGAAUGGUGACAUUAAAUCUGGUUUAUUACGAGCAAAAUAAAAAAACAAACAAGAAAAAGUAUUAAAUUGUGCUAGAGUUUCUUUAACUUAUAACCAAAAGUACACUUCCAACAUUCAAACUCUGUGAUAUGACUUCUUAUGCCAAGACUAUGAACCUAUCUACUCCCUCUAUCAGGUAGAAAUUUUAGAUGGCUUACAAAUACUCAAAUCAUAUUCAAGUUGAAAGUUCAGGUUCAGGUGGAGUUUAGCAGUCAUUGGGUGUUGCUCAAUAAGCACUCACUCAAUGGGGACAGACCAAACUGGAGCAGAGAGGGAGGGGCUAUGCUUAAUGGCAGAGCCAAGCCUUGAUGCUUUCCCAGCACUCUGCCCUCAUUCAAGUACAGCCUUGCUGGCAAUGUCACCAGUAACCAGAUUAGAUGAGCUCUUUGCAGAUUUCAGCCACUUCUGCUCUCAGAAGCAACUUCUGCACUAAAAUCUCUCAGGAUCCAAACACCCUCACUUUAUAAGUGAAAAUAAAUCGCUAGUUUAUUACAUUCUAAUCUGCUCCUUUUCCUGCCGUUGACUCCAAGAUCCAGCAGGUUUCCUUUCUUCUGGCCACAUCCUGUAACUGCCUUAGCUCCCCCAGGGCAACUCAGGAGCCCCAUCAGGCUACCCCCCAUAGGCCAAUCCAACACCAACUAGUCUCCCUUAGGGCAUCUGCAUCUCUGCACCUCAUAUCAGACAGGUCUAUAAGCACACUCUACACCUUUCCAAACACUAUAGACAUCCCCCCACCACACACACACACUUGCCCUACUUCUAUUAACUGCAACACCACCCUUGGUAAUUUCUAACUGAUGCUUUCCCCUGCCCCUCUGGCUUUCCCAGGCAGCUCCUAAAACCCUUUUUACAGCUUAACAGUCACUACCUUGGUACCAACUUUCAACUACCUUUAUCCUAGAAUCCUGCAAAGACUUCUUCCUAAAUACUGUGUCUAUCUCCUGUUGUCACCAUAAUGCUCCAAGCCAAGCCACAGCAGCUGCAUCUGUUGACUGUAAUGUAGGAUACCUCUACACUCCCAUCAAAGCCCACAGGUGCCACAACCUGUUGUUUAGCAUCACCCUCUCCCCCAUUUCUCUGGUCACAUCUCUCCUAGGCUGGGGUCAAAGCAGGCUGCCCUGUCUCCUUACCCUGUCUCAACAGAAUAUUACUGCAAAGCAAUCUCCCUGGGGACUGUUCCUGCCUCUGCCUUCCAACCAUCAGACCUCCUCUCCACAUCCUUUAAACAAUCCAAAGAAGGUAGUAGUGGUGGUGGCACAACCUCAUGAUUGUACUAAAACCACAGAAUUGCACACUUUCAAAGUCUGACUUCUGAUAAAUGAAUUACAUCUCAAUAGUAAUAGUAAUAACCAUGCUUACCAGAAAGCUCCUGUGCUGAAGUUUGCCUUGUCAUUAAGCACCCUUUCUCCCUCCACUCUCCCUUGGGACCCCUGGAUUCACAAGAAUACUAGGGGCUUUCUCUGAGUUGACCUUUGGUGCCAAUGCUGAGUUCCUGAAUACAAAGCAAAAGCACUGUUCAGCGUGGUUUGAAGUUUUUGGCACCAAACUUUACCAAAUUGCUGUAGAUCACAUCACCCCGACUUGGACCAAAGAAAAUCACAACUAUUGGUUGACAUAAAAGCAGAGUGAAGGCGCUUGUGGGCGCCUUGGGGUGGGCGAGCUGCAUCUGUGUUUCAGUUCUGGGGCUGUUUGGCAGUUAGGGGAGUCUGCGGGCUGCGAGAAUCAGACCCCACAGCUGGGGAUAUCCUCAGUCCUGAGCAGGAUGUGGAGUCCCACACACUUCAAUUAGCAUCCACCUGGAUUGUGGUGGGUGGAUCUGAAAAGCUGAGGAGCCCUCCCACCCCCUCCAAGAGCAGCCUUUGGGUUCUAGGAUCAGAUCACCUCCUAGGGCUCAGUUUCCUGCCAGGAGCAGAAUUCCCUCCUCAGGGAGGGACUGAUUGAAAACCCCCAGAUCCAAAGGAAAACAAAGACUAAUUUCAAGGAAAAUCCUCUCAAUGUUGGGACCCUUCAGUGAGGAUCCUAAUCCGGACCCCACAGUGUGAUCUCCAGGGAAGACUGAAGUGACUUUCACUGAACCUUCCCAGGAAGAGCAAAGACAGCUCCUCAUCAUGCACAGCACCCUGGUGAGGAGCCCUGCCUUGUGCCUCUUUUUAUUUUGGCCUGUCCCAGGUGGACGCAGUCCCAUGUCUUGGCAACCAGCCUUCAAAAAACAAGAUGAAAAGGAACGGAGAGAGUGAAGAAAAGAGGGUCCUGGAGAGAAAGGUUGAAAUGCUGAAGAAAGGAGAGGAGAGGAAGAAAGGUGGGGGAGGGGAGGAGAAUUUAAAACCAAGGACAGCAGGAAGGGGAAAGAGAUGCAGAGAUGAGGGCUGUCAGGUCCCGCCCUUACCUGCCUUCCCCCAGGAUCAAGCCUCUGCUUCCAAAUCAACCCCAUUAAGAUUCCAGAACAGGAUGCAGACCCUGAGCCUUAGGGACACCCCACAACCCCCACUGCAGAAAGGGCCACAGCCCUCCUCCAUUUAUCAUAUUUAAAUGAAAACCAGCUGGUGGUGAUGGCACAAGCCUGUAAUCCCAACGAUUUGGGAGGUUGAGGCAGGAGGAUUACCAAAUUCAAGGCCAGCCUCAGCAAUUUGAGAGGCCUGAAGCAACAACUUACUGAGACCCUGUCUCAAAAUAAAAAACUAAGGGCUGGGGAUGUACUCCACGGUAAAGUGCCUCUUGGGUUUAAUCCCCAGUGUAUGUAUGUGUGUGUGUAUGUAUGUAUAUGUAUAUGUGUGUGUGUGUAUGUAUGUAUAUGUGUGUGUGUGUGUGUGUGUGUGUGUGUACCUAUCCAAAAAGAAAUAUAAGGAAGGGUAACAGUGUUCUAUUUUCCCAUGAUUAUGUUUCUUUAAAAUGCAUUUAUUUGGUGGUUAAGAACACAGUACAGCCUGAACCAGACCCUGGGUUCAAUGCUCAGCUCCUCCCAAAAUAAGCAACAACAAAGAAAACCAAACACAAAUAAACCUCCCAAGUCCAGAAAUUAUGUGGAGCUUUCUAUCAGUUGAACUUGGGCGCCAAUGUUGAGUUCCUGACUACAAACUGAAACCACAGUUAGGCGUGGUUUGAAGUUUUUGGCAUCAAACUUUACUGGAUCGCUGAAGAUCAUGCAGACUUCAAGCAUGAAGACUUUUCCUACUCAAGUGUAGAGGGCUGGGGAUGUAACCCAAUGGUAACAGGCUUGCCUAGCAUUAUGAAGCCUGGGCUUAAUCCUUAGCACUUCAAAAACAAGUAUCUCCAAAAGUUCUUUAUGUGUCAAGCCCUGUUGCUAAGCUAAUAUCUUUUUAAAAACUGGGUUUAAUUCUGAUAUCAAUAAUCACAAUAAACUUUUGAGUUUGGAUUUAAGAUCUAAUGCCCUCCAAAAGCAAUAAAUGAAUAAAAACACAAUAAAUAAUCAAAAAUUCUAAAAUAUAUUAUUUUGUUUCUUGACACAUUAAAUAGACAGACCUGGAUACAGGUUUAACCAGUACCAAAGAGUAUAAAGGAUGUGUUGAGCUCCCUGCUACACUGCAAUGAGAGAUGCAAACAUCUGUGAAUUUAGUGGUCAAAGUAGGAGGUAAGGCUCCUACUACCUUGGUAUUCUGUUCAUAAUGGAAGAAUAUGCUAAUUGUCAGAUAGAAAGAAAACAUGUAUUUAUUAUUUCUAGCUUUUAGUUUUACCCUUAAUCCAGGGUCAUCUGUUGUGAACACUUUGUCACAGCUGUUCUCACUCUCCCACCCCCAUAUAAACAUGGCUGUAAUGAGAUUGCUGCACCUUUGCACAAUAAGUUACAAACACCAUAAUUCUUUUUUUUUUUUUAAACUUGGGAUUGAACCCAGGGCAUUUAACAACUGAGCCACAUCACCCAGCCUUUUUUAAUAUUUUUAUUUAGAGACACGGUCUCAUUAAAUUGGUUAGGGCCUCUCUAAGUUGCUCAUGCUGGCUUCGAACCUGUGAUUCCCCUGCCUCAGCCUUCUGAGCUGCUGGGAUUGUUCAGGUGUUCACCACCAGGCCCAGCCCACCAUAACUCUUUACCUCUAGAUUUGUCUGGGUCUAUCUCUUAAGAACAUGGGUUUGUUUUAUUUUCUUUAUACAGAACCAAAAUACAAAUUUCAAGGGGGUGCCAACUUUCUUAAAUCAACUUCAAUAAUCUAUAGUUUACAUACUAUAAAAUGCAUGUAUUUGAAAUGUACAGCUCCUUGAGUCUGGGUAAUCAUGCAUUCUUGUGUUACCACCAGGGAAUAAAGAAGAAGAACAUUCCCAUCAUCCCCCAAAGAAAAUCUAUGCAAUAAAAUUCUAGGUAGCCAUUAAAAUGAGCAAAAUAUAUUGUAAUGGAUUGCUAUUAAAAAUGGUGCCCUCUGGGUUGUGGCUCAGUGGUAGUGUGAUUCCCUAGCAUGUGUGAGGCCCUGGGUUCAAUUCUCAACAUCACAUAAAAAUAAGUAAACAAAAUAAAGGUUUUGUGUCCAACUACAAUUAAAAAAUAAAUAUUAAAAAGAAGAGGUGCCCAACAUAUUCUAGGCUCCUUAAAAGGUUAGGAAAAUACUGGAUUAUAAUACUACCAUGUACAUAGUGUGUAUUAUUAAAGAGGGAAAACCUGGAUGAUUUUCCACUGAUGGUUUGACAGAGGCAUCUCCAGGGACUGGGAAAACUUGGUGCCUUUUGCCUUCUCUGAAAUGCUGGAAUUGUAUGUUCUAGCAUAAAAUCGGAUUUGGAAGAGGUGCCAGGCAAAGAAUGUUAUCUGUUUAAAUUAUGAGAAACUAAGCCCCAAACUCAAGAAAAUACUGAUUGUAAAGGACAAAAUAUUGAUUGUAACCCAACACCAGAAGCUCUGUCUUAGGACUAGACUUCAUGUUUUCAUAGCAUGGACCAUCCCUCAAUUGCUUUUGAGAAUGAUACUUUUAUUUUUUUAAAUUUAUUUCUGCAGUACUGGGGAUAAAACCCUGUGCCUCACGCUGCCAGGCAAAUGCUCUACCCUGAGCUACACCCCAGCCCUGAAUGGGAUACUAUUUUAGUAGACAGACAUGUAACAAAUAUGGCCCAAAAUACAAAAUAGAGUGCAAAGGAGGCUGCAGAUGGCUGCNUGUGCCUCUUUUUAUUUUGGCCUGUCCCAGGUGGACGCAGUCCCAUGUCUUGGCAACCAGCCUUCAAAAAACAAGAUGAAAAGGAACGGAGAGAGUGAAGAAAAGAGGGUCCUGGAGAGAAAGGUUGAAAUGCUGAAGAAAGGAGAGGAGAGGAAGAAAGGUGGGGGAGGGGAGGAGAAUUUAAAACCAAGGACAGCAGGAAGGGGAAAGAGAUGCAGAGAUGAGGGCUGUCAGGUCCCGCCCUUACCUGCCUUCCCCCAGGAUCAAGCCUCUGCUUCCAAAUCAACCCCAUUAAGAUUCCAGAACAGGAUGCAGACCCUGAGCCUUAGGGACACCCCACAACCCCCACUGCAGAAAGGGCCACAGCCCUCCUCCAUUUAUCAUAUUUAAAUGAAAACCAGCUGGUGGUGAUGGCACAAGCCUGUAAUCCCAACGAUUUGGGAGGUUGAGGCAGGAGGAUUACCAAAUUCAAGGCCAGCCUCAGCAAUUUGAGAGGCCUGAAGCAACAACUUACUGAGACCCUGUCUCAAAAUAAAAAACUAAGGGCUGGGGAUGUACUCCACGGUAAAGUGCCUCUUGGGUUUAAUCCCCAGUGUAUGUAUGUGUGUGUGUAUGUAUGUAUAUGUAUAUGUGUGUGUGUGUAUGUAUGUAUAUGUGUGUGUGUGUGUGUGUGUGUGUACCUAUCCAAAAAGAAAUAUAAGGAAGGGUAACAGUGUUCUAUUUUCCCAUGAUUAUGUUUCUUUAAAAUGCAUUUAUUUGGUGGUUAAGAACACAGUACAGCCUGAACCAGACCCUGGGUUCAAUGCUCAGCUCCUCCCAAAAUAAGCAACAACAAAGAAAACCAAACACAAAUAAACCUCCCAAGUCCAGAAAUUAUGUGGAGCUUUCUAUCAGUUGAACUUGGGCGCCAAUGUUGAGUUCCUGACUACAAACUGAAACCACAGUUAGGCGUGGUUUGAAGUUUUUGGCAUCAAACUUUACUGGAUCGCUGAAGAUCAUGCAGACUUCAAGCAUGAAGACUUUUCCUACUCAAGUGUAGAGGGCUGGGGAUGUAACCCAAUGGUAACAGGCUUGCCUAGCAUUAUGAAGCCUGGGCUUAAUCCUUAGCACUUCAAAAACAAGUAUCUCCAAAAGUUCUUUAUGUGUCAAGCCCUGUUGCUAAGCUAAUAUCUUUUUAAAAACUGGGUUUAAUUCUGAUAUCAAUAAUCACAAUAAACUUUUGAGUUUGGAUUUAAGAUCUAAUGCCCUCCAAAAGCAAUAAAUGAAUAAAAACACAAUAAAUAAUCAAAAAUUCUAAAAUAUAUUAUUUUGUUUCUUGACACAUUAAAUAGACAGACCUGGAUACAGGUUUAACCAGUACCAAAGAGUAUAAAGGAUGUGUUGAGCUCCCUGCUACACUGCAAUGAGAGAUGCAAACAUCUGUGAAUUUAGUGGUCAAAGUAGGAGGUAAGGCUCCUACUACCUUGGUAUUCUGUUCAUAAUGGAAGAAUAUGCUAAUUGUCAGAUAGAAAGAAAACAUGUAUUUAUUAUUUCUAGCUUUUAGUUUUACCCUUAAUCCAGGGUCAUCUGUUGUGAACACUUUGUCACAGCUGUUCUCACUCUCCCACCCCCAUAUAAACAUGGCUGUAAUGAGAUUGCUGCACCUUUGCACAAUAAGUUACAAACACCAUAAUUCUUUUUUUUUUUUUUAAACUUGGGAUUGAACCCAGGGCAUUUAACAACUGAGCCACAUCACCCAGCCUUUUUUAAUAUUUUUAUUUAGAGACACGGUCUCAUUAAAUUGGUUAGGGCCUCUCUAAGUUGCUCAUGCUGGCUUCGAACCUGUGAUUCCCCUGCCUCAGCCUUCUGAGCUGCUGGGAUUGUUCAGGUGUUCACCACCAGGCCCAGCCCACCAUAACUCUUUACCUCCAGAUUUGUCUGGGUCUAUCUCUUAAGAACAUGGGUUUGUUUUAUUUUCUUUAUACAGAACCAAAAUACAAAUUUCAAGGGGGUGCCAACUUUCUUAAAUCAACUUCAAUAAUCUAUAGUUUACAUACUAUAAAAUGCAUGUAUUUGAAAUGUACAGCUCCUUGAGUCUGGGUACUCAUGCAUUCUUGUGUUACCACCAGGGAAUAAAGAAGAAGAACAUUCCCAUCAUCCCCCAAAGAAAAUCUAUGCAAUAAAAUUCUAGGUAGCCAUUAAAAUGAGCAAAAUAUAUUGUAAUGGAUUGCUAUUAAAAAUGGUGCCCUCUGGGUUGUGGCUCAGUGGUAGUGUGAUUCCCUAGCAUGUGUGAGGCCCUGGGUUCAAUUCUCAACAUCACAUAAAAAUAAGUAAACAAAAUAAAGGUUUUGUGUCCAACUACAAUUAAAAAAUAAAUAUUAAAAAGAAGAGGUGCCCAACAUAUUCUAGGCUCCUUAAAAGGUUAGGAAAAUACUGGAUUAUAAUACUACCAUGUACAUAGUGUGUAUUAUUAAAGAGGGAAAACCUGGAUGAUUUUCCACUGAUGGUUUGACAGAGGCAUCUCCAGGGACUGGGAAAACUUGGUGCCUUUUGCCUUCUCUGAAAUGCUGGAAUUGUAUGUUCUAGCAUAAAAUCGGAUUUGGAAGAGGUGCCAGGCAAAGAAUGUUAUCUGUUUAAAUUAUGAGAAACUAAGCCCCAAACUCAAGAAAAUACUGAUUGUAAAGGACAAAAUAUUGAUUGUAACCCAACACCAGAAGCUCUGUCUUAGGACUAGACUUCAUGUUUUCAUAGCAUGGACCAUCCCUCAAUUGCUUUUGAGAAUGAUACUUUUAUUUUUUUAAAUUUAUUUCUGCAGUACUGGGGAUAAAACCCUGUGCCUCACGCUGCCAGGCAAAUGCUCUACCCUGAGCUACACCCCAGCCCUGAAUGGGAUACUAUUUUAGUAGACAGACAUGUAACAAAUAUGGCCCAAAAUACAAAAUAGAGUGCAAAGGAGGCUGCAGAUGGUCUGCCUCCUGUCAAUAGUGGGUGGGGGAAAGAAAAACCCAGUGGAGGUGCAAGGGACCCUGUCACAUUUUUACUCAAAACACGUUUGAGACUUGUAUUGCCAUACUGUCCACAUGUCAUGGACAAAGUCCCAGCAUAUCUCCUUCUUUGGGCCAUAAUUUUCCCUUGCAAACUGUUAAAUGAGCAAAUGUAAAAAAUGGGACUGAAUCUGUCAUAUAAGUAGUUUCAAGAACAUUUGGGCAAUGCGAAUUCAGCUGGGCAAGGCUCUCAGUCUCCACAAGUGGCAGUCACCUGGAAGGACAGAAGUCUCAGAAUUCCUUCCCAAGUCUGAGGAGGAAAGAGAAUUCCAGCCCUAGAGCCUCUGACACUGAGCUCUAGGGGGAUUGCGGUCACAGAGGAGAGAAGGGAGCUCGGGCAAUAGCAGAGGAAGGAUGAGGGGGAGAGAGCUAAAGUCCACCGGAUCCCUCCUUCUUUUACUGAUGGUUGACUUUGGAGGGGACCAAAUGGUCCUGGGAGGGGUGGUGGUUGCAGAUAGGGGUUAUCUCAAGAUGUCUCUUGGUGUCCCCCACCAUACCUUGCUCUCUUUUCCUAGGGAUUACUGAUUAGUUCACACUGGGAGCAGACUGUAAAAGAUGUCAUUUGAAAAAAUGACACUUGAAACAUAUGCUCCUUAUCUUCCACUCUGGUGCAUUUAUAAAAACCAAAAUUAAAAAGCCAAAUGCUAUCCCUCUAUGUUUCUAGCAGGUAGAAGGGCCAGUGGCCCUCUUCCUCCCUCAGGUGACAGGUACCAAGACUCCAGCUUUGAGGCUCUGGGCUCCAGUCCUGCAGCCAGCAGCCUCCUCCUGCCUGGGCUCCCCUGGCCCUUGGACCAGCCCCACUCCCCUGUCUGUACUGCCUCCUCCUUUUCCCUCUGCACACCCAGCUCCUGAGGUUCUCUCCACUUCUUCAAAGGCUUUCUCCUACUGGAGCGCAAAGACCCUCAAAGUUCAGGACAAAGAGAAACAAAGACCCUUGAGAGAAGACCUGAACCUGAGGUUCCCACCCUUGAGGGCAGCCCCCUCUCCCCAUCCCCUGUGUGUGUGUGUGUGUGUGUGUGUGUGUGUAAGUGGAGGGUCAUAGUCCUUCACCUGGCCACUAGGAAACCUACCACCUUGGCUCUGCUGCAGGAGUUGAUGUUGCACGUGUGUCGCGACCCCUUGCCCGCAAGGAAGACGCAACUCAGGAAUCUUCUUUCAGCAGUUUAUUCAGGCCCUUGAUAUUUCUUCUUCUCUCUCUCGGAUGCCCCUCCCAGCCUUAAUAAAGCAUCCCAAGCCCCAAUGCAAAGCUGCCGCGUGGAGCUUUCUCACAGGGUGGUGAAAAAUCAUGUGCCAACUUUCCUAGAUAAGGAGUUGUUUGUCACAGACCACAGCGGAGCCAGCGCCAUGUUGUAAUGGCGACCAUAGUCUGCAGAAACAGCAGAAGCGGCUCACCACACAUGUGUCCCUUUCUCUGUGGAUUGGGACAACAAUAUUCACCAUAUCAGCAGAGUUAGAAAGAUCCCCUUAAAGAAACAUUUAAGGUUCCCUCCUCACAUCACCCAGGGCUGCUAUGUGCGUAGAUACCAAGUUCUCAGAUAUGGUUUCUAACACCAAACUCUCUAAAAUAGGGUCCCUGGCAUUUUUGCCACUGACAGUCUUGUGGACCAGGCACAUAUUUCUCAAUAGUAAUUAUCACUCUGUUGAAUAAUUUUUAUUUUUUGGUUGUCAGACUGUAUCUCUGAAGUAUGUGUUCCUUAGGUAGGGAGCUAGUCUAGUUGUCACCACCUGUAUCCCCAGCAUCUGGAAUAAUCCUAGUAUAGAAUAGGGACUCAAUGAAUCUGGACUGAAUGGAUAUCUAGAUAGAUGGUUGGAUGAACAUGUGUUGGUGUGUAACUAUGAGAGACAAUUUGAUCCCAUGUCUAUUCAAGAAAUCUAUGAUUUUAAAACAAAAGGCAAAAUAUAGAGGGAUCUUUAGAUAUAAGAUUAUUAAUCAGACUUUAUUUGCAAUGAAAGAAUAAAACACAAAAGGGAUCUGGGGAUGUAACUCAGUGGUAGAGCCUGAACUAGCUCGUACCAGGCCCUGGGUUCAACCCCAGUAGGAAAAAGACAGAGAUACCAACAGGAGUGGUUAUAUAUAUUUUUUCUUGUACUACAUAUUUGGUUGACAAAAAUCAGUGUGUAAAUGAGUGUGAAAUAUCAUAUAAAGUUGCUUUAUCAUAAUAAAGUUUUUAAAUGUAAGAUUCAAAAUAUUUCAUCUUGUUUGAGUGCAGCUAUGUAGUCCUGCAUACAAACACAGAAACCAUCACCUUGUGACAACACACAUCAAGUAUCUCCAUGAAGAAUCUCCCUGAGUAGUGUCUGGAGAUCAUCAUGGAGCCUUGUGGUGACUGUCAUGUGGCUGGUGGUCAGCCUGGAGGUGGAGCAGAUACUGGUGACCCAAAACUCUCAUUAUAAAGGUAUUACUAUCUGGUGGCCACAGACUCCAGGUAAACAGAGAUGCUCUUCCCAGGUAGGACAUUGCAGGGGCCUAGGGGUCACCUCCCAGAAGCUGAGGGCAGAAGCAGACCUCUAUCUGGUUAAGGCAUAUUUUCUGCUGUGUACCUGUGGCAACUUCCCAUUUGGCUUUACACAUUUACAUCCAAUGGGGUUGUUUUGUGUGUACGCUAUGAAGUAUCUUUGAUCUUACUUUUACUUUUAUUCUUACAGUUUUCUUUUAAAAAGAAUGUACAGUUUCCACAGCACUCCUUAUUUACAAAAGUCCUUUCUGCAUUGUUUUAUGAUGCCCCUUUAUUUGUAAAUCAGAUGUUUCUAUUUAUGGGGCCUGUUCCAUUGGCCCUUUUGUUUUUGCACCAAUAUAGGCAGGUCUUAAUUAUUGUCACUUUUAAUGUUCUACCUUUGUUUCUUCAAGAAUACCCUGGCUAUUCUUGCCCUUUUGUAUUUGCAUAUCAAAUUUGGACUCUGUUUGUCAAUUUCUCCAAUGAAACUUGUUGGGAAUAUGAUAGAAUUGCAUUGGAUUUGUGGAUUAGUUUGGGGAUUUGCUACUAAAACAACAACAACAACAAAAACAAAACCAAAACACAUGUACAGAAAACAAGUGGGGAACUCAGCACUGCUAUAUAGGGCAGCUCCAGGGGCCCCUUCACUCAAGUCUAUGAGCAUAUGUCAGUGGAGAUGAAAGGUGGUUUUACAUCUUUAUGAUUUUGCCUUAAAACAUUUUCCGUGACUGAUUAUUGCCAUAAUAGUAUAAAAUAACCACUGUGACAUUUUAAAACCUAUAAAAAUAAAAUUUUAAUUAAAAAAAUUCAACUCUCCUUCCCCAGCUCAACUUGAAGCAGGAUGUCUGGUCUGGGAACUGAGUUUCCUGUGCUCUGCACUAGGCCACACACGGGGGGCAGGCGGGGGGACACCAUACUGUACUGCUCUUGGAUCCUCACUGAGUAGCUAAGGAAUGGUCUGAGCAUCAACUGGGUAUAAGGUUUCUGAGCACAAUGGACUGCACAGAUGUCUAGGUCCUGGAUGUGGCAGAGACUGAAGGAGAGAAGAGCUCAGGAGCCAUUGUACCCUGCCUGAGGAUUUUGUCUUCCCAGUCAAGCCUCCCAUCAGCCCCUGUUGACAACACCCCAGAAAGCUGAAGAACAGAAAUGUUUUCCUCUGCUCCUGUCUCCUGUUGCUUUCCAGUGCUCCUUCUUAGUGGAGCAAUGAUGAAAGUAUUUGCAUAACUUUUUUUUUUCAGGAGAGACACAUGAAUCAUUGAUGACAUAUUCAUCUCUGUCAGAGUCCCUGGGGCCCUGGGAAAAUGGGGACUGAUUAAACUUUCCCCUGUACUCUUGUUGGAAAAGCUUGAAGGAUCUUUCAAAACAUGUUACCUGCACAUCUCUGUCAUUUGUAAGACCUUAUCUCAAAAAAAUUGCGGACUGGAUGGACAAAUAAAUGCCCACAGACACUGACACACUUGCACAUGCAUGCUCUCUGCCGUGGUUUGAUAUAGGUCUGUGUGCCGCCCACAGGUCCUACAUAACAUCUUCUUCUUCAGUGUAGUGGUAUUGCAGAUGCUGUGGACUUUGAAGGGCUGGGGCCCAGUGGGAGGUCCUUAGGCCACAGAAGGAUUUGGAGGCAUGGUCUCCAAUCUCUCUCUGCUGAUGGUGAUGUAAUAGGUCAGCUCUGCCACAUGCUCACACCAUGGCAGGCCACCAUCCACUCUCCUCAUGAGAACUGAGAUGAUACAGGUACAGGCUUUGGACCCUCCCAAACUGUGACCUGAAUAAAUCUCUUAAAGCAUAAGUUAGUUACCUCAGGUAUUGAACUGCACUAAUAUGACAAACACUGAUACGCCCUCAACUGAGUCAUUCUCAAAACAGGCAUACUCUUUUAUUACUUUAUUCUUGUUUUUAUUUUUAUUUUUAAAUCAGAUGGUGCUGAACCACUGAGCUACACCCUCUUUUAAAUUUUAAUUUUAUGACAGUGUCUCACAAAUUUCACAGGCUGGCUUGAACUUGCCAUCCUCCUGCCUCAGCCUGCCGAGUAGAUGGGUUGAUAGGAAUAUACCACCAAUCUGGCUCACACACAUGUACACUUGAAACUUAAUUUUUGUUCAGCAUUAUAUUGUGAAUAUUUCCAUGUUGUGAGGAAGUAUUACAGUAAAUUAUCUCCAGAUUACAUGAAAAAGAUCAAAGAUUCCAAACUUUGAAAGAAUACUAAAGUGGUGACUAUAGAACUAAUUAGUUCAGUCUUUUGUCACAUUUGUUUUAGAAUGAACAAAUUAUAGUUAUAUAAUUCUUGCUGACACCCUAGAAAAUCAAUCAUUGUGACAUUCAUUCCUAAGUAAAUCAGUGCUUAUCUCUUAUAAAAUGACAUUCUUCUUUCAACACCAAUAUUGUUAUGACACUAAGGAAAAUUGCUGUAUCCUUCUAAUAUUAGCCAAUGUCAAAUGGUAUAAAAUUUGCCUAAUUACAACUCUCCUCAGUUAGGAAUGAAUCAUGGACAGCCUAGCCAACCUACACUCUCAGACCCUCCACCGAAUCUACAGAGGACAAGAAAGGUUCCACAUAGCACCAAGACCCAACAACACCAAACACAUCUCCAUUCACAGAGAAAAGGCCCAGACCCACCUGUUCCCACACCUACCCCUCGUGCAGCCCAGCUGUCUGUCCUGAAUCCACCAGGACUAACCUCUUGUGUCCUUUCCCUGUCAGGUUAGUCAUGCUAGGUCUCCUUCAAUGUCCUGUAGUGUUAUCCUCAUGAGGCUCUGCAUAUUCCUGUCCUGUCUCUUCUCCUGCCAUCUCCCCAACUCCUGGAAUCUUUCCAAGUCACCCCUUGGAAUCUCAGCUUAUAAAAAACAAACCUGCAAAGUUCUCUCAGGACGUCCUUGCCUCCCAGAUCUAACAUAAAUGUGGUUUCCAGGAGAACAUGGGACCUCUGAAAUCUCUUCUCAUUGGGGUUUCCCUGAGGACCAUGUACAGCAUCUGGGGUGGGGUCCUUCCUCCACACUGAGGUUCUCAGAUCUUUCAGCUCCCUCUUCUCAACAUCCACUAGUCUUCCCAAUAUCCACUGCCUACCAACUCUCCUCAUGGUGGGCACUCCCAGGCCCCCCAGUCAAUUUCCCCAUCUCUGCACUCUUGGCUUCUCCUUGUUCCUCACCCUCUCAGAAAUGCUAUCUCCUUACUCCUCACUGAUUUCAACACAAGAAGAUGUGGGGACUGAAGAAUGGUCCCUAUAGAUGCUCACACCCUAAUCUUAGAAGAGUGAGGAUGUUGUAUUAUAUGGCAAAGGGGACAUUACUGAUGAAACUGAGGUGACAAUGUGAAAAUGGGGAGAUUGUAUUGGAUACUCUGGGUCACCCAAUCAAAUCACAGUAAGACUUCCAAGCUGUGACCCUUCUCUGGCUGGAGUCAGAGAGACACUACAAGAGACGCAGGUGGAGGAGAUGUAGCAGAGGGGACUUCAGAGGUUCCAGUGGAAGAAGGAUAAGAUGUGCUGUAGGGGGCACAUAUGGACCUGAGAGAGGGCUCCAGGAGCUAAAAGUGGUACCUGAAUGACGGUUAGCAAGGAGAUAGGGACUUAAUUUUCAAACAACUUUAUUGAUCCUGGAAGCAGAUUCCUUAUCAAAGCCUCCAGUAAGGAACAAAGACCUGCUGUCACCUUGGCUUUAGCUCUGUGAGCCCCGCAGGGGACUUGGAACCUACAUAACAGGAGGUCAUAAAUGGAGCUACAUAAAACCACUUGGGUUGUGGUAAUUUCUGUGGCUCUGUGACCUCUGUUUAGACUGGGAAAACUGAUGUCCACCCCUCAGCAGGUGGUCAUGACAUAGAUGCUCAAGAAGACAAUGGAGGAUGAGGCUGAGGGAAGAGGGCGUGUGGAAUAGAGAGAUUCUGUGAGGUCACAAGCCCCCUCAGAGAGUGAAAUUCCAAAUGUCCAAGAGGACACUUUCACUAAAGCUCACAGGAAUAUGCUGGUGACAAGGGCCUGCUUCACUAAAAAGGUGGGUAUUUUCCUAUUCAAGCUGGAAUGAGGGUGGGGAAGGGGCUCAUUCAUAUUCAUAGGGAGGGUUUGGUCCUGAAAGGUCAGAAGAUCAAGUAGUGACAGUUAAUCAGCACUGACCAGAGACCAUGCCCACCACAGCAACCCCAGAGCAGCAGUCAGGGGUGCUCUGAUCUGCAAGGGGCUGUGGAAAUUUGUGGAAUUUUAUGUCCCUAGGGUCAAACAGAUAGGUGUCAGACAGACGACCAGUAAGCACCCUUCUCAAUAUCAGCAAUAAACAUAAAACUGUGGAGCAGGAGGCUGAAAGUGUUUGAACCAAUAAGUCUUGAUUCCAUUCUCAAUUCUGAGCCAAUUUUCAGAUUCAGAACCCAGUGACUGAAGAUGUGUCCACAUCAAGGGAAGAAAGAACCUAGGACACCAUGACAAGGACAUGUGACCAUGAUUCCCUCAGUCCUUCUGCCAAGGAAUCAUCAUUAUAUCAGGAGACUUCAUGAAGAGAGAGAAACAGGCAGGAGGCUGGGGAGUGUCAUGCACUGGGAUUGAGUAGACACCAACACCCACAUACCCACAGCCUCACCAUCCCUCCCUCUGUGAUGCAGUGUUAAGAGUCUGGACUGGAUGCACAUCCCAUAGAAUAUGAAGUCAGUUCAUUUCAUCCCACAUCAUGCUGCCUGGGAUGGAUGAGCAAGAGGGGGAAAGUGCCCUGGAGCUCUUGAUGAGGCACACGCACCUCAGAAAGUGGAAGAUAAAAUGUUCAGAGAUUCAGGAGUGGCCCCUUCAUUGUGAUUACACGUCCAGCUGUUAAAGACAAGCAGAGAUGUCCCCUCCAUGGUACUGGACCAGCUGCUGCACCUGGCACCUCUCACUGCAGGGAAGGAAGCAGGCAGCCUGCAACUCUUUGGGUUCUGACAACAUCACCUUCUACACUGAGGCACAAUGUUUGUGCCAUAUAUUUGGUGACAUAAUAGGCCAGCUUCAUGUGGAACCUGGACAGGAAUGGACACUAUUAUAGUUCUAGGCCAUGAUGGUAUCAGGCACCACCCCUCAGACUCCACUGCUAUGGGGGUAUCAGUGGUGUGAGAGGUGCAGGAUGGAGCUGACCCAAGCACAGGGUGAGAAACACUAUCAAGGGCCCUGGAGUCUGAGGGAGGCCAUACCUUCCACACCCAGAAAUGUGCCCCUCUCAGUAAUGAGCUUUUGUGAGUUACUAGGCCUGGUGAAGUUUGACCAUGGGACACUAAAGAACACUGGAGUGAUGAUAGCCAACAUGGACUGGGCUCUGUGGAGCUCACUACGUCACAACCUGGACAUGGAAAUGGCACAUCUGAGCUUGAGCCUGAAUCACAUGCAGAAAACCAUCACACUGAAGUGGCUAUGAACAGCCAAGUAGACAAAUGGACAGGAUCCAACUGUUAUAAUUUGGGUCUUGAGUGUCCUAAAGGCACAUGAGUUACAGACUUGUUCCCCUGGUGGAACCUCCAGGAUGUAGAUCCUACUGGAAGGAAAUGAAGACCCUGGGUGUGUGUCAUUGAAGGGGAUGUUGGGAUCUGGCCCCUUCCUGUCUUUCUUUUUGCUUUCUAGCUGCCAUGAGGGGAUCAGCUUCCUCUGCUAGGGGCUCCCCAUGUUCAUGUUCUCUCUCACAACAGGUCCCAAAGCAACAGAGCCUUCUGACCAGGGACUGAAAGUUUUGAAAUAGUGAGCCCAAAUAAACCUUUCCUCCUUUUAAGUUGGUUGUCUC